UUGAUUUUUGUACUAAAGGGAUCUUAUGACGCUCUGCAAAUUCUUCGUCUAAAAAACAAGCAGAUGCUCCUGAGUCUAGUAGUGCUAAGGUUCUCAAUUUUUGAGGGCCGAUAAACACAGGGAUUGUAAAACAAAGUGCAGGUUGGGCAGAAAGAAAGGAACCUGAUUGUUGUUGGGAUAUUUCAUUGUCCAGCCGCACGGUUCCUACUGUGGUUGGGCAUCCUCGUUUUCCUGAACAAAUACUCUCCUAGUCUUGACUAUGCCUCGAUUUUGCUUUUUGGGGCAGUUUCCAACUUUGUGGCCUUCUCCACUACAAUACAAGCAUAAAUUUUCCUCCAUACGUCGCUUUUUUUCUUCUAAAGUAAGAGAUUUGAUACGUACCGCAUCAAUUUGCAUGUCUUCCACCUCUGAAUGCGAAUUCACACUGCUUGCCGACAUAGUUGGAGCAUGGCGAAUUGUAUGUUGUCUUGAGCGUUGGUCUUGGCGACAUUGGAAUAGGCGAUUAUUGCACUUCAUAGCUUGGCUAAUGGCUUCAUUGAGCGUUCGUGGAUCAGGAAGAGUUAACAGCAAAUCCUUCACAUCAUCUCUUAAACCCCAAUAGAAUUGACUCAUCAAUGCUUCUUCAUCCCAAUUGAUGUCGCAUACUAAUUGCCUGAAAUCCGAAGCAUAGACUGAUGUAGAACGCAUCCCCUGUCGUAGCGACCGGAUCUUUGUUGUAGCCCAUCGAACCUUAUCGUGUUCACCAAAUGCUUUCGCAAAUGCUUCCAAAAAGGUUUCGAAGUUGUUUAAUAUGGAUGAUCGUUUCUCAAACAAAGGAGCAAACCAUGAUAGAGCUUGUCCCGUAAGUAAGGUUCCAACAAGCCCAACACGUGACUCCUCCAUUGGGUAUCGUUCGAGCUGUAAAACUGUUAUCAACCUGAUUUGAUUGACGAAUCCUCGAAACUUGGAACGUGUUCCAUCAAACUUAUCUGGAAGGCUAACUCGAGGCUCCUUAUGUUGUAGAACUAGUGGUUCUUGUCGAACCUGAGGUAAAGUUGUUUCUCCAAGUGCCGAAAUUUGAGGCUGGUGUAGUUUAGAUUGUGCUAUCCCAGAUACUCCAUCAUUAUGAAGCCUUGCCACCACUCCUUCAAUCUCUGCAAUUCUUUGUGAUAAUGUAGCGAGGGCAUUCAUAAUAGCAUCUAACUUAGACUCCGAACUUUCUGUCAUACUAAUGUCUUGACCUCCGGCCAUUCUAAAAAAAAGGACAAAAAUGACCCUAUAAGAGGCAAUAUUGGUUUAUAGGAGGGUAAUCGACAACCUAUAAAAUGCCUUAAGAAUUUCAAGAAGAGGGGUAAUCCACUCUUUCCAAGAAGAAUAAGACUCCAAUAUUGUAACAGAAGAAGUAUCAGUUUAAAAGAGGGUAAUCCGCAACCUCUAAAAAAUGCUAGUAUACCUUCAAGUAGAGGGAUAAUCUACACUCUACUAAGAAAGAACUAGCUCUGAUAUCUCAAGUUAGUGUAGUCUCAACAAACUGUCACGGACACAAAAUACAGACUUGAAAUCUAACAAGAAGUUCAAGAAGAAGUGGCAGAAUUAGAUUAAACAGAUGAGUACAAGAACAACACCAGAAAGGUGAGCUAGAACUCCAAGAGAUGUGUUGUCGAGACUGAAAAACUCUUCAGCCUCGAUCCCUAUAUAUACUCCUACUUAGGAAGCUUCUCGAGCUACUUCUAUUAACUAGAAAGCUUCUAGAAGGUUCUAGAGGCUUCCUUUCUAGAAGGUUCUAGAAACUUCUUGAGCUACUUCUAUUAACUAGGAAGCUUCUAAAAAGUUCCAGAGGAUUCCUUUCUAGAAGCUUCUAGAAACUUCUCUUCUAGAAGAUUCCAGAGACUUCUUUUCUAGAAGCUUCUAGAAACUUCUCUCUAAAAGGUUCCAGAGGCCUCUCUUCUAGAAGGUUCUAGAAACUUCUCUCUAGAAAGUUCUAAGGAAUAUGUUCCUAACAGCAAUUCUCCAUCAGCAGCUUGAAGAAAUAGAUCAACUUUAUUCGGCUCCAAUGUUAAUUUUUCUUCCUUCGAUAAUUGAGAGUAAAUGUCACGGAACAAAAAUACAAACAAGAAAUCUAAACAAGAAGUAAUGACAAGAACUAGAUUAUCAGAUGAGUACAAGAGCAACGCCAAGAAAAUUGAGCUAGAGCAUCAAGAGAUGUGUUGUCGAGACUGAAGAAUUCUUCAACCUCGACUCCUAUAUAUACUACUGGCCUAUGGUUCUAAUGAAGCGCAUCAAGAAGCUUCCCAAGAACUAUGAAGCUUCUCGAGCAACUACCCAAGAGCUAAGAAGCUUCUCAAGUAACUUCCUAGAAUCUACUAGAAUAUUCUAAGAAUCUUCUAAAGCCUUCUAAGGGAAUCUUUAAAGAAUCUUUAAAGAAUCUUUAGGGAAUCUUUAAAGAUAUUCUAAGAGAAUAUUCAAGGAAUCUUCUGGAAGUUUCUAGAGACUUCUUUCUAGAAGGUUCUAGAAACUUGUCUCUAGAAAGGUCUAAGGACUAUGUCCCUAACAUCACCUCCUCCUUUAGCUUCGAGGUCUCCGAGAAGCAAUGUUAUCGUCAGUCAAUACCAACGCAAGAAAAUGAAGAUCUGUCGCAUAACCUCUGCUAUGAACUCCAAUUGUUGUUCACGAGGCAAGUGAUUCAAUGGUCCUUGAAGCCAACGGUAGUGGCCCACGCCUUCAACUUCUGACCAAGCAUGAACCUCCGUGUCUUCAUUGUGAAAUUAUCCUACAAACACUCCUUCUGGCUGACCAUUGUAAGUAGGCUCGACCUCAAAUACAAUCACCAGCGAUCUGUUGCUUGAAAUCCUUCGACGUCGUCGUGGUGCAAGCGGUUCUUCAUCUCGCAAUCGUCUUCGUGAGCUAGUUGCUUGAGAUGACAUGACAAGUGUAGUAUCUUGGCUAUCCAUAUUCAAAGGCUAAAACAAUAAGAACAAACUUGGGCUACUAACAAAGUUCUACGCUAUCUUGGAGAGAAUGACUACAUCAACUAUGGAUUUUGGUGGUGCUCUCUCCUCUUUUCUGUUUUUUGGAUGAGCAAGCUUCACUAAGAAGCUAUCGUCGAACCGGCUUGGAUUUCUCAGGAUAUCGUCGAUGAAACUCCUGUACCUUUUGCGGCACAUUCGCGAGAUUUUCGGCCGGCUCCCAUGUUCGUUCAUUAAUAUCGUAACCGCUCCAAUGCACAAAGUAUUCUAAUUUACCCCGUCUUUGCCGUGAAUCCAGGACCUUUUCCACCUCGUAUUCUUCGUGGUUCUCUAUUUCUAUGCUAGGUGGUGGACAUUGUACUCUUCCAAGAAAAGACAAUUCUCGAUAAGGCUCCAACAAAGAAACAUGAAAGACAGGAUGUACCUUCAUAGUAGCUGGUAACUCCAGACGAUACGCUACAGGAUUGAUCGGCUUCUGGAUAACAAAUGGUCCCAAUCUCCGAUAGUCCAAUUUGUCACAUCGCCGCUUGGUCUUAAUAUUUCGUCGAAGAAGCCAAACUUUGUCUCCAAUCGUGAAUUUAGGUGCCUGAUUCCGAAAUUUGUCCGUGGACGCCUUGUAAGAUUCUUGGGCAGUUUGCAAUUGAAGCUUCAAUGUAGUUUGAAGCUGCGAAAGCUCCUUCACCAAUCCUUCAGCUGUCGGAUUGUUAAUCGUUGACAAACUCCAUAAGUCAAGCUUCAGAUGGUAUCCAUAAUUGGAAAAGAAUGGCAUUUGUUGAGUUGACACAUGAAGGGUGUUAUUAUAUGCGAACUCGACUAGCAGUAGAUAUGCGACCCAAUCAUCUUGUUGAUAGUUGAUGGUGCAACGUAAAUAUUGCUCUAAAACUUGAUUCACCCGUUCUGUUUGACCGUCCGUUUGAGGAUGAAAUGCCGAAGAAAGCUUGAUAUCCACCUUCAAUAUUUUAAAAAGAGAUUUCCAAAACUUUGACACAAACUGGGUUCCUCGAUCCGAUACGAUAUCAUCUGGUAGACCAUGAUAUCGAUACACAUUAUCAAGAAAGAGUCUUGUUGUGUCUUCGCUUGAUGAUGUCUUCUUGCAAGGGACAAAAUACGCCAUCUUUGUAAGCCGAUCUACGACAACAAAAAUGCUGUCAAAUGAAUUCGAUGGUGGUAGAUCCGUAAUAAAGUCCAUGGAAACUGAAGACCAUGGUCGGCGCGGAAUAGGCAAUGGCUGUAGAAGUCCAUAAGGCCGAUGUCGAGGAUUUUUGGAUCUUGAACAAAUGUCACAAGAUACAAGAAAAUCUUUCACAUCAUUCCACAUUUGAGGCCACCAAAAAUCGCAGGAAAUAAGUUCCAAGGUCUUAUUGAAUCCAAAAUGUCCCGCAGCUGGAAAGUCAUGACGAGAUUGAAGAACUCGGAGUCGUGUUGGCCCUUUUGGGAUAUACAACCGCUCUUCGAAAUAUACUAGAUCUCCUUCCAUCUUGAAUUUAUCAUCACUAGCAUGUUGCUUGAUAUCAAGGGCUAGAGAAUCUUCAAUGGUUGCGGCCCGUACCUGGUCGAGGAAGUCAGCAUCAAUUGGUACAAUAGCUGCGUUGAGCCGAAAUUUCUGUGGCUUCAACAAUGUCGUGCACUGUUGAUCAAAUGCUGCAUCUCCAGCCUUUGGCGCGAGAUAUGAUCUCCUUGAUAAUGCAUCGGACAACCCUUGUUGCUUCCCAGGCCGAUAAGUAAUAACAAAGUCGAACUUGGAUAGCGACAUAUUCUACCGAGCUUGAUGCCGAUUCAAAACCCGAGCCGACAUAAAAUACUCCAAAUUCUUGUGAUCCGUAUAUACGGUCACUGGAUGUGCAGUUCCUUCGAGAAAGUGACGCCACUCUUGGAAAGAAUCUACUAUAGCAAGGAGUUCUUUAUCGUGGAUCUCAUAGUUGAUCUCAGCAAUAGAGAAUUUUCGAGAAUAGAACGCAACAGGAUAGAGCUUCUCAUCUACGCCCAUCUAUGAAAGUACAGCUCCCAAAGCAAAAUCCGAAGCAUCUGUCUCCAAAUAAAAGGCCUUUAUAAAGUCCGGAUGUACCAAGAUAGGAGCUGUAGUAAAUACCAUCUUCAAAUCUUGAAAUGUUUUUUUUACGAUAGGUUUCUAUUCGAGCUUGUCCUUACACAUUAACCGAGUGAUGGGGGCAGCAACUUGAGAAUAAUUCUUGAUGAAGAUCCGAUAGUAAUUAGCAAAUCCAAGAAAACAUUGUACGUCCCUAACCGUCUUCGGAACUUCCCAAGACAUGAUUGCUUCCACCUUCUUUGGAUCCAUCUUCAAGCCUUCCGUAGUCGCGAUGAAUCCCAAAAACUCCAUCUCAGUUUGGUGAAAUAAGCACUUCUCCAAUUUGGCAUAGAGUCCUCGCUCCCAUAGUUUUCUGAGUACUAGACGAACGUGCUUCUCAUGUUCUUCCUCGUUCUUAGAAAAUAUCAAAAUAUCAUCUAGAUAGAUGACAACAAAAUCGUCUAGAUGCUCUCGAAAGAUGUCAUUCAUCAUGUGUUGAAAGACCGCUGGAGCAUUAGUAAGACCAAAUGGCAUGACAUUGUAUUCAAAAUGGCCAUACCUUGUUCGGAACGCUGUCUUCCAUUCAUCUCCUUUCUUAAUUCGCACAAGGUUGUAAGCUCCCCUUAGGUCAAUCUUUGUAAAGAUCCUUGCACGCCCAAGUUGUUCUAGAAGACCAGAGAUCAAAGGCAGUGGGUAGUGAUUCUUUUUUGUCACCUUGUUGAGACCUCGAUAGUCCACGCACAUCCGUAGUAAGCCAUCCUUUUUCUUCACAAAUAAGAUUGGUGCCCCAGCUGGCAACUUCGAAUGACGGAUGAAGUUCUUGGCUAGAUUCUCGUCAAUGUACUUCCGCAACUCAGUCAACUCCAUCUGCGACAAAUUGUAGAUUGGUCCAAAAAGUGGUUGUGCUCCUUCUUGCAAUUCAAUGGCACAGUCAUAGGGUCGAUGCUCUGGCAGCAUAUCAGCAUUCUUCUUUUCAAAGACAUCUUUGAAUUCUUCAUACUGCUUUGGAAUAACCAAAGUCGGAGUUGCAUCUUCUCGAGUCGGAGUUGCGAAGAUGACAAGAGGUGUAUUUUGCUUGGCUUCCUUCAUGAAAGCCCUUGCACCUAUAAACAAGAAUUUGUUUCUAGACAUUGUCUUGGCAGAUUCCACCUUCAAGGAGUUUGUUGGAAAUGUCACUUUUCGCAACUUCCAAUCUAUCAAUGGAUUAUAUCUAUCAAGCCAAGAUAGUCCCAAAAUGAUAGGACAUGAAGGGGUCUUGAUAACAUUAAACACAAUAUUGCUCUCAUGGUUUUCAAGACGUACCUUCAAUGGUUUAGUUUCAUGGAUAACAUUGCCCGAAGACAAUGGUCGUCCGUCUAUGACUUCUACAUGGACAGGCUUAAGUUUCUUUACAAGAGAAAUAUUGUGAAGCUUGGCAAACUCUUCAUCUAUAAAGCAAGCGGAUGCACCCGAGUCUAAUAAAGCAUCGACUUGUAGUUCUUGAAUACCCAGAUGUAAAGGUACCAUAAAACAAUCUGAAGGUUGAGCUGAGAGAAAGGGACCUUGAUUAAUUUUGGAUGUUGAGAUGUCCAGCCGCACGGUCCCUAUUGUGGCUGGGCGUCCUUGUUUUCCUGCAUGCUUGUAGUCUUGAGUCUUGUUGUUUGAGGCUUCUGUUUCUUCCGACAAUCUACAGCUUUAUGGCCCGCUUCUCCGCAAUAUAAACACAAGUUUUGUUCAAACCGUCGCUUCUUUUCCUCAGCUGUGAGGGAUUUGAAACGUACUGCAUCAAUUUGCAUGGGUUCAGGAUCUGUGGAGUGAUUCUCUGGAUCUUUUGAAAAUGUAGCAAAUGCUCCAUCAUUUCUCCAGCCUGAUCGUCUUUCUUGUCGUAAUUCAAAGAGGCGGUUGUCACAAAUAAUUGCCUGAGAUAUAAGUUCUUCUAAAGUAUCCGCCUUAGGCAUGGUGAUCAAUAAGUUCUUGACAUCAUCUCUCAGUCCAUAUCGAAAUCGUGUCAUGAACGCCUUAUCAUUCCAAUCAAGAUCACAUGUAAGCUGUUGAAAUUCUGCAGCAUAAAUUGAAGCAGAAUGUGAUCCUUGUCGCAGAUUUUGUAUCUUUCUUUCAGCCACUCUUUCUCGAUCGCUAUCUCCAAACGCAGCAGUAAGUCUCUCUAUGAAAGCCUCUAGGUUGUACAAUAUUGGAGAAUCCUUCUCCAAUAGUGGAUCAAACCAAGAGCGAGCAUUUCCUGAUAGAAGAGUACCUAUGAAAGCAACUUGGCUAAAUCCAUUCGGAUAAUGAGAAGGAUAUAGGCGUAGGUAAAGCCGUACUUGUUGCACAAAACCUCGGAAGUUGGCUCUUGUUCCGUCAAACUUGUCUGGCAUACUCGCUUUUGGUUCUUUCGUACUAAUCCUUGAAGUAUCCAUAGGGGUCGUAUGUGACACAUGUCUUGCUUCUCUCAAUCGAAUAAUCUCUUGUUGUAGGCUAUGAAUUUCGCGUCUAGCUUCUUCGGUCACUAGAUCAAUUUGAGGUUCUUUACUUGGAUUGCGAAGAAAUGCAAUCUCCUUUCGUACACUAUUCAUAAGAGCUUGAAGAUCUGCAAGAGUUGCCACUCUAUUAUCUACUUGUGGAGAUGCACUGUCUAUGACCUAGUCUACUUCCAUAUUUAGAGAAUAGAUGGAUUAAAAUUUUGAGAGAAGAAGAAAUUGCUAAGUCUCUUGGAGAAAAUUGUAGCACUACCUGUCACUAAAACCUACUCGAAGAAAAAAAAAAAAAAACACUAAACGAUUUCAGUUUUAGAGGAGGGUAAUCCGCAACCUCUAAAAAUGCCUCAAUGCUUUCGAGAAGAGGGGUAAUCCGCACUCUAUCAAGAAGGCAAAGCUCUGAAAUCGAUGUUAAUAGUCUUUUCUACUAGCUAUGCUAAACAAAAAGAAGGAAUUAAUAUCAGUCCAAGAGAGGGUAAUCCGCAACCCUUAGAACGCUCAAGAAUCUCCAAUGAAAGGGGUAGUCCACUCUCUUCCUCAAAGAACUAAGCUCUGAUAUUGUGAUUGAGAAAAUAUCAGUUUAGAGGAAGGUAAUCCGCAACCCCUAAAGCGCUAGAAUACCUUUAAGAAGAGGGGUAAUCCGCUCUCAAACAAGAAGGAUUCAGCUCUGAUAUUAAGAUAAAGGUAGUCUCGACAAACUGUCACGGACCAAAAAUACAAACAAGAAAUCUAAACAAGAAGUAAUGAUAAGAACUAGAUUAUCAGAUGAGUACAAGAGCAACGCCAAGAAAAUUGAGCUAGAGCUUCAAGAGAUGUGUUGUCGAGACUGAAGAACUCUUCAACCUCGACUCCUAUAUAUACUACUGGCCUAUGGUUCUAAGGAAGCGCAUCAAGAAGCUUCCCAAGAACUAUGAAGCUUCUCGAGCAACUACCCAAGAGCUAGGAAGCUUUUCAAGUAACUUCUUAGAAUCUAUUAGAAUAUUCUAAGAAUCUUCUAGAGCCUUCUAAGAGAAUCUUUGAAGAAUAUUCUAAGAGAAUAUUCAAAGAAUCUUCUGGAAGUUUCUAGAGACUUCUUUCUAGAAGGUUCUAGAAACUUGUCUCUAGAAAGGUCUAAGGACUAUGUCCCUAACAGUAAUUGAUAGUCCUUUUUGCCCCAGCCGGUAGGUCUCUAGACGUUAUAGAGAACCCCGAACAACCCGAACUAGUAAUCUUCGAUACCGCUUUAUACUCACGAUCUUAUAUCCAUUGAUUGUCUUGUUAGAUUAACCCAAUAAAUUUCAUUCACUCCGCAUACUCAAUCCUAUAUGCACCCUUUUAAUUCUUCAUCACAGACGUAACUCAAUUUCACAAAACAAUUAAGAGUAAUCACAUCCACUUCAUUAAAAUCCCGAUUCACCAGUACAGCACUGACUUCAGCAACGAUUGCCUCAGUCUUCCCAAAACCCUAUGAAGAAAAAAAAAACCCCAAUUCUCUGUCUUUUUUCCCCGCUAUGAAGCAUGAAGCUAGCUCUUCCCUUUCUAAAAACUCUCCCCCCCCCCCCCCAAAACCUUAUUCUCUCCCCUUCAUUUCUUAACCUAUCCUCCCCUUUAACCCUAAUUCUCCCCUCUCUCAAACCCUAGCCUUUGAAUUUCUUCAAUCUUCCAUCUUAGAUUCGGAAUUGGCUCCGCAGUCAGAGCUUUCUCCUCCGUUUUUACCUUUAAGAGAUCCUUUUAUCGAAAGGAUGUUCCCGGAACGACACAAAGGACGAUGUCGUACUGUAAUUACUUACAGUAUGUAAAAAUUAGUGAAAACAUGUAAUAUGUUUAUAAGUCUUAAUGUGAGUUAGAAUAGUUAGUAUGUUAAUUUAAAAUGAAUUGAAAUAAGAAAAAUUAUUUGGAAGUUAAUCUAGUUUGAUUAUAGAGUUUAUAUUAUAUAGGAUUUAGAUAGUUAGUAUAAAGAUUAAGGAAAGGGAGGAGUUAAAAGAUGAAAAUAUAACUAGAAAGAGGCUUAUUGGGAAGGAUGAAAGUAAGGCAUGGUUGGAUGAAGGCAAGGGGUGAAGAACUUCAUCCCUAUUGGUCGAAUACCAUACCCAAUGGGCUUUGAGGAGGCUGCCCGAGGCCAUAUUAGGAAUUAGGGUUCCUCUUUCGAGGCCAUUCGAGCUUUUGAGGCUAGGAUCAGAAGGUUUAGGGUUUUGGGUAUAAUUUGGGUGAAGAUUUUGUGUGAUUUCGAGUUUUUAUGGAAAAGAUAUGUAUGUUCAAAGAUAAGGUGUCAAUUUCGUACCUACUGUCACUUCUUUUGGGCAUCACAUACGAAUACGGAGAGCAACGGAAGAUCGGCGACUAGAUUUGGAGGGAGCAUUUUCUCGGCUACACAUUCUACUUACUGUAUAGUGAAUUCUAAGAUUGGGUGAAGGAGUUAUGAGGCGUUGAAGACAGUUCUUGUAAUUUGAAGGCAGUAAGUAUAUCGUUUUGUUGCUAGUUAUGGGUGAAGCCAUAUCUUGAGUUUCUGGACGAAUUUUUGGCUCAAAAUUUCCACAAGUGUGUGUAAUUGGAUUAAGAGGCUUUAGAUCAAAGUUUCAUAGUAUUUGAAUAAUUACUUUGUGAGAUAUGAAGGAAGUUGUACACGGGUGUAAAAAAGCUAGGGUUUGAAGCUAUAGUUAGGGUUUUCAAGAUAUCACAAGAUCCAAGACGAAUUUACGGUUGAAUUUUGGUGUGGUAGUUGCUAAAGAUAUAUCAGUACUCCAUGUAAAAUUUGGAGUUGUUUAGACGGUUAGAUCGUAAGUUAUGAGCUGUUGAACUUCGGGAAAAAUUCCUCAUAAGGAUAUAUAAGUUUUUUAUAACACCUUAUCAAGUAUUUUGGUGUUCUUUGGAUUUUAAGGCUUGUAUAUUGAUGUAAUUGCUCCAAAGGAGAGGAUUUUAUAUAUUUUUAAAUUGUUACCCUUAUAUUUCAAACUUGAUUGAGUAUUUAGUGACAGCCAGAAGCCCAGCGCUUUCUUGAGGCAAACUCUCUCUACCCCGACAACGGAACAGCCUGAAACGGAAUCAGAACCCCCAUAAUCGGGACCACAUUGAGUCGCCCGACCAAUUCAGGUCUCAUAUUGGCUAAGAGGCCCAUAGUAAGACUUGGAUGUUCCCGUAAUUGGACCGCAUUGGGUUGGUAAUCGGGACCACAUUGAGUCGCCCGACCAAUUCAGGUCUCAUAUUGGCUAAGAGGCCCGUAGUAAGACCUGGAUGUUCCCAUAAUUGGACCGCAUUGGGUUGCCCGACCAAGUCAGAUCUCAUAUUGGAUAAGAGGCCCGUAGUAAGACCUGGAUUGGAUGUCUUGAAAUUGGAUCCAAUUGGCUCUUCGAACCAGAUUCAUCCGUCGUUGAAUUGGUCCUUUUCCAUUCUGCUGACUCCCAUUAUUGGAAUCAAACGGAGCAUUUCAGUAUGCCCCGACUUACUGUAACGGGGUGACUGAUCCUGGCCUUUCAGUAUUUGCACUAGAAUUGGUUGUUGCUCCCAAUAUUCGAGGUAACUGAACAUUAAUAAAAAGUCCUCUUUCUUUAUAUUUUCACGGUAUACUCAUAUUACAACACGACAACGGUACACUCUAUGGUCCAGAUGGAACUAGUCCCAUCUGGCGGAGGUUUCUUUAGUAAGUUUGUUAAAGGUUGACAAAUAACUGCAAACGAACGAAUGAAUCCUAAAUAAUAACUAACAUGGCCGACAAACCCACGAAUACCAGAGACCAUCUUUGGGUGGGAUAAGUUCAUUAUAUGCUGCACUUUGUUCGAAUCCGUAGCAAUACCACGGCUAGAGACGAUAUGUUCCAAUAAUUUAUUGGAUAGAAUACCAAAUUGACACUUCUUCGAGUUCAAAGAUAUGCCAAACUUAACGCACCGAGCCAAACAUUUGCCCAUACAAUUAAGAUGAUCAUAUUUUGUACUGAAUGCACAAAAAUCAUCUAAAAAGAUCUCCAUAAAUAGCCAGAGAUAGUCUUGGAAGGCUUGAGUCAUCACUCUCUGAAACAUGGAUGGGGCGUUACAUAACCCAAAAGGCAUCACACGAUAAGCAAAUGUGCCCCAACCAUAGUAAAGAUCAUCUUAAGCUGGUCUUCUGUUGUAAUUUGAACUUAAUUAUAUCCAAAAAAUCCAUUGAGGAACAAAUAAUAUUCAUGACCGAUGACGGCGUCCAAUAUACUAUCUGUGAAAGGCAACGGAAAGUAAUCCUUCUUGGUGGCCGCAAUAAGUUUCCAAAAAUCCUGAAAAAUGUGGAUUUUUCCAUUCUUUUUUGGCACCAUGAUGAUUGGAGAAACUCACUCGCUAUUCGGCACUGGAUAAAUGAAACCAACCGUAAGAAGCUUGUCCAAUUACUCCUUUACCAUAAAGGAAUAUUUAAGAUUAAGACAAUGUUGUCUUUGUCGUACCGGUUUAGCGUUCUCCUCUAAAAAGAUACAAUGCUCACAAAUGUCAAUAAGAAUAUCCUUUAAAUCAGCAUAAGUCCAAGCAAAAGCGGACUUAUGAUGUAAGAAAAAUUCUGUCCAACAGGUCAAUUUUUGGUCCUUAAUACCUUCAUAGACCUUAAUUGUCCAUCGCUCUGCUGUGGUCGUCAAGUUAAUAGUUUGAUAUAAAGGUGCAACGAUGAUGUUGUGUUUCAACUCCCACGCUAGUUGAAAACCAGUCGGUAAGUCUGACAUGUAUGAAGUACUGAAUCAUGUAUCCAAGGCACUAACAUGGUGCACAUCAUACUUGGUAAUCCAAUCAAUACUAACAUACUCAGAGUUUUCUGAAUUCAUCGGGUAUAUCAAGUACUCUCUCGGACCUCCACAUUGGUACACCACUCCAGGGUGUUGCGUUGCCUCCACGGACGCCUCCGUAAUUGGUGUGAUUGCAUCAUCAUUGGAGCUAAGCUCAUCGUCCAAUGUCAAUUCAGAUGCUGGCAAUUAAGACUCCCCAUGAUAGCGUACUGAGUACAUUUGUAAUACCAUUUUAUUGUUAUCCUUAUCAAUUAUCAAAGUACCCCGACUCCAAUAAUUCUUGGCCUUCGUUUGAUAAAGCCAAGGUUGUUCCAAUAAAAUUGGAUACGAUAAAGUCAAACGUUGUAGCCGAAAGAUGAUAUAGUCAAUUGCAUAUGCAAUACCAACAAUUAUAGUUUGAACACUCCGUAAAAUAUCCAUUGGUUUAACCCGGCUAUGAUCUGCCAUCCGUAAUACCAAUAUCGUGGGUACUAAGUGUUCCAAAUCUAAAGCAUCUAUUGUAUCAGAGUUCAUUAAAUUGACACUGGAACCACCAUCCACCUGAAUAUCCGAGAUCACAAUACCGUCAAUCGAAACAUUGAUGGUUGGUGCACCUGGGUCAGGAUUCAAACUAACUUUACAAACUUCCUUAUUACGUUGCCUAUGCCAUGUUAUCGAUAAAUUCAAUGUAUAACGGCACUCUUGUAUGACCGUUAGAAGUUGCUUCAUAGAAAUAGAAGGCUGAAUAGCAUCCAGAUCCUUUAAUAUGUCAUAGAGUUCUAUAUUUAGGAUAAUACCCAAUACCCUCUUUCUUUUCAUUGGUUGGAGUUUAAUUCCUUGAGGUAAGAUAUUCUUCCGCCCUAGACUCGGAAUUGGAAUAGCAGACGGAGCUUCUUUGGAAUUCAAGCCUCCUAGAGGAUCUUUCAAUGGACAGGACAUUUUUCGAAACGACAUAGAAAAUAGAACAGCUUGAAAUGGAUCCGAAGCCUUUGUAAUCAGUAACUCAUUAGAUAGCCCAACCGAGUCAGGUAGCAUACUGGGUAAGAGGCCCAUAAUAGGACCUGGAUUGGAUGUCCCCAUAAUUGGGUCAAAUUGGCCCUUCGCUUCAGGAUCACCCAAAUGUUGAAUUGGUCUUUUCUCUUUUUGUUGACUCUUAGUAAGAAUGGCUUGGACACAUUCCACUCGAUUUACUGAAGAAUCUUGAAGCCCUUGAUGUAUCUCCUCCAUUUUUCCUUGGUUUUGGAUCUGUUGAUCUCGAUUAUUGAAAUUGAACAGAGCAUUACAUUGCUGAUAAGUAUGCCCCGACUACUUGUAAUUCCCACAAAUUGGUGCAUAAUCAUCACUGGCUCUGGGAUUGGAACAUUUACUAGCAUAAUGGCCAAUCUGUCUGCGACGGAAAUAAUGAAGUGGUCUUCUUGUACUCCCAUUAGGCAUAUUUGGUGUCUCCAUCGAUAUAUACCUACUAAACUUAUUCCACGUAGGAUUAGAAAAUGAUCCUGGUUAUCCCAUUGGAAUGGAGAGAACUUGAUUUGAUGAUGCCGGUGGAGCAUAUUGCUAAUACCUCUGCUGCUCUUUCUCGUAGUUCUGGGGGUUUGAUACAGAUCCUUGAUUAAAAUUGGAACUUUGAAAGUUAUUGAAUCCUUCAUUUUGUCGAUUAAAUUGAUUUCCAUUCCAUCCAAACGUAUUUUCCGAUUGAACUUGAUUGAUGUCCCAAUGAGUUGGUGGAAUCAUGGUCUGAUUACUGAAUUGUUGUUGCCUUUGUAAAUUCCAACAAUUAGCUGUUAAGUGCUUUCGUCCGUAAAAUGUACAUUGAUCCAUCAUUUGUGAGGGUGAAGGGCAUUCUGUUAUCAAAUGACCGUAGCCCUUACAAUUAUUGCACCAAACAUUGGUUCUAGUAUUGGUAGGCUUUUGCCUCUUCUCCUUAUCUUUGGCCAUAUUGAUGGCCAUUUCUUCCAUUUUCUUCGUCAGGUUCAAUAACAAGGCUUCAUUUGAAUCUUCUGGUGCUGGUAUUAUUGGUAACUCUAUCGUAAUUAACACUUGUUGUUGAUACUGAAAAUAAAGAGCAUACGAUGUUGUCACUUUUGAUGGUAUAGCUUGCAAUGGGGUGACAUUAACUGGCCCCUGAAUAUUGGCACUGGAAUUGGCCCUUGUAUCUAACAUCCAUGGAUAAGCACCCACUGAUCCGUUCCAAGUCGGAUUUUGAUAACUACCUUGAAUUGGAAUCAACAUAGCUCCCCCAAUUAAAAACUUAUCAUAAUGGCAUUCCUCCCAAACCUUGGCUCUAUUAAAGGAUGUAGACACCGUAACGGAUUGAGCUUCCUUCACAAAUAUUUUUAACUCUGGUGGCUACAAACCAUUGAUUAAUAUGGAUAAGAUAAAUGCCUCUGACAUUUGGUGAUUCAACCACUUACUCAGUAUAUCAACCACCCGACCAUAAUACGAUUCCACCGCCUCCUCUAGGAUCAUUUUGCUAUUCAUUACACUCUCUCGAAGAUGAUCCUCAAAACUUAUUGGCCGAAAAUGGAUUAAAAAUACAUUCUUUAAUGCUUCCCAAUUCAAAAAUUGACCCACUAGUUGAUGGUUGUACCAUUCAAAUGCCAUGUCCUUUAAGGUUGUUGGCAACCAUCAUAACCAAAUAUCUUCGAUUCUUCUAUUAUUGGCUAUACAUGCUGUCAGAAACUGAGAUAAAUGUUGAUUGGAAUCCACACCCAGAAAGCCCUUAAAAGUAGGUAAUGGAGCCACGCUCGUUGUGCGAUCGCUCAUGUCACCCAUUUGUACUGCUAUUGGAACCGCUGGACCAUCCGUUGCCAUUGAAGAAGACAAUGUGUUGCUUAAUCUCUUAUUAAAAUUACCAUUGCCUUCUCCAAUUAUCUUUUUUAGUCUUUUCAACCUCCUAAAUUUACUAUUAUUAUCCUUAAAUAAGUUUAUUGGUUGAAUUGGAGGUAAAAAUGAUGGAUUUUGAAAUACGCUGAAUUGGCUCUUAUUGGCAAGCAAUUUAUGCCAUUCUAUGGAACCAGUUUUUACAGAAUUGGCAGUUACUACUAUUGAAAAGGUAUCCAAUUAAGUACCCAAUUCUUCUACGUUUCUUCCACUUGUAGUUAACGAGCUCAAGAGAUACGCUGGGCUGUUGACAAAAUUUCUUGCGAGUGCUCUUGGCAAUUUUUUUAAUGGUAUAUAUAUCUGAAAUAUUAGAAAAAGGUCAGCUUCUGGAUAUGCUUGGAUAUGCCAGCAGGCAUGCAACCAUGGCUUAAUCCAACUUUUUCGACACUGUCGGAGUAGAGAGAGUUUGCCUCAAGAGAACGUUGGCCUUCUGGCUAUCACUAAUUAUUCAAUCAAGCUUGAAAAUAAGGAAAGCCCUAAGUUUAUAUAUAAUUUUUCUUUUUUUGAGUAAUUACACCAAAUACACAAUCCUCAAGUAACCCACAACUUCCAAAAUAUGAUAAAAUCUUCUAAAACCUUGUUUAUUCUGAUGUAGAGAUUUUUCCGAACUUCAACACCUCAUAUCUCCUAAUCCGACCGUCCAAACAAACUCAAAUUUUACAUAAGGUACUGAUAUAUUCUAAUUAACUUCUACAACAAAUUUCAACCGCAAAUUCGUUGCAGAUCUUGAAAUAUCUUGAAAAUCCUAACAGUCGCUUCAAACCCUUGUCUUUAUACAUUCACGUGCAAUUUUCUUCAUAUCUCACAAAAUAUAAGCUUAAAUGCCACGAAAUUUGUAUGUAUAGCUUUUUAACACAAAAAUUUACAUUCUCCAAAAGUUUGAGCCAAAAAUUCAUCCAAAUACUCAAGUUAUGGCUCCAACCAUUACUACAAACAAAACCACUUACUUACUGCCUUUGAUUUGGAAGCGCCGCCUUCAACUCCUUACAACUCCUUCAUAUAAACUCUAAAAGAAAUAAUUCUUUCAUGAAAGAUGUAGGUCUUAAAAUCGCCGUUCUAUUUGCACCUUUCGAUCUUCAAAAGCUGCUGUAAAACUCCUCGUACCCUCAAAAGAGUAAUAGUAUGUCUUAAAUAAACACCUUAACUUCAAAUGGCUAUAACUUCUUCACCCUAAUUCCAAAUCCUUUAAUUUUUGUACAAAAAUUGUACUCCAAACCCUAAAAUUUACAACCCUAGCUUUUAAUCUCCGAAUGCCUCUUUGAAGUCGCCGAAACCCUUCUUAAGGUCGUGGGCAGCCUCCUCAAAGCCCAUUGGGCAUGGUAUUCGACCAAUAGGGAUGAAGUUUUCCAUUCCUUGCCUUCAUCCGACCAUGCCUUACUUUCAUCCCUCCCAAUUAGCCUCCUACUAGUUUAGAUUUUAAUCCUUAGGUUUCCACCUUCUCCCAAGGCUUCAUACUAAACAUUUAGGUCCUAUAUAUAUAUAUAUAUAUAUAUUUUUUAAUGUCAAAAACAAAAGAAAUAAAGAAACAAAGUAAAGUUUCUUAUACCAACUUCUUUUAAUUUAAUCUACUAGCCACUCUAACACACAUCUAGAUUUAUCAACAUAUAAUAUGUUUUAACUAAUUUUUACAUACUGUAAGCAUUUAUAGUACGAUAACGCUUCUUUUUUAACUUGCGUUCUUGCUCAUUUUGCAACGGCUCUCUUGCUUGCGCUCUCUCUUAUCUUUCUUUCGACUAGCAUAUUUUCUUUACUGCAAUGUUCUCAUUCUUAAUAACCAUAAUCUUUUAUUAUAUACUACUGAAUUUGCUUCCUAUUUUCCAUCUGCUCAUCCGGCAGUUAAUUCUUAACACUCAAUGCUAUUGUCAAUCCCCGAUAGCGGCGCCAAAAAUGUGAUUGUCGUUUUACUUAUUCUACAAUUCCUUCCAGAAUAAACUUGUAUAGGAAAAUUCGAACACAUGGAAAGACUAAGCGCAUGAGUUUUACUUGUUAGGAUCACACAAUUAACUAUAUUCUAAACCACUAAAACACUAAGAAAUACUACAAUGCUUCCUCCCAGUAACAAUACUCCUUCAUCAACUGAUAACCACAAUGUGUAACCCUGCACUCUCAAAAGACCGCUCAAAACUCAAUAAAUUCCAUCCAACACCAGGAAUAACAAACUUCACUCCAAUCAAUCUGAAUUCACUGAAUUCCUGUAAUCAUAGACUUCCUCUGUCGAAACAUACACAUACAACUCUCAAUAAACAACAAUCAUAAUCUUCCAUCCAUAAUCAAGCUUCCAAUAACUUCUCAUAUGAUUCAAUGACUCAAUACUCCAAUUACAUAAUCAAUAACUCAUAAAUCAAUCUCUGAUUUAUUCCAUAGACUCACUUCUCAGUAUUCAGAAACUAUCCAUUAUUCUUCAACAACAAAGAAAACAAAAGAAACAAAGAGGAAGCACCAAGCUUAAUCCCGGCUCAUGACUAUCACAGUCUAGCGCCCCAACAAACUUCUAUAUAAUUGCUAUUGAUUACUAGAUUCUAACCAUAAUCCUAUAAUAACCGCUUUUAAUAAUUGAAUCAAUCAUCCGACCUCCUAAACUGACUAUUCUAUAGACUAUUAAUCUAUUUUACUAAUAUCUUACAAAAACAAAUUAAUAUCUAUUCUACAAAUACAUAAGUAUUUUUUUUAUUCUUUAAUAAAGAAGUUUCAAUACUUCUAUGGGCACUACCUAUCAUUGCAAAAUAAUAUUUUAUUAAGUUGGAAUGGCUUGAGCUUACUAGAAUGUUCACUUCUUUCAUAAAAAAAUUAUCAAAUAUUAUAUCAACCUUUUUAAAUGCAUAUACAAGUCCCAUCCACUUUGAUUUAUAAUUUUUUUUAUAAUUUUCUUUACUUAUAUGAUUUGAAAUUUCAAAACUCUUUAUAUUUGACAAUUGUUUUAAUUCAUCCAAUUUUCGACCUUCUAUGUGAAGCAAAUCCUCUGUUUUGUAUAAUAGAUGCUUUGCUAAUCCAAAAUGCUCAAAAUCUUCUUUUCUACUUGCAUAAUCAACUUCUCUUGUAAAAAUUCAACAUCCUCUUUUACUUCAUGAAAUUUUACUAUCUAAAAAGUAGCCAAGGAGUUGUCUUCAACUUAAUUGGAAUAAUACUUUGAAAGCAUAUUAUUUGUUACAUCAUAAUAAAAUUUUAAAUCCAAAAUUAAUUCUCUAAAAGUCUCUUUGUUAUUCAAGUAGAAGAUAUCUUCUUCACACUAAUUUGGUUUUCCACAACUUUCUAUUACAAAAUAAGUUUUAUUAAGUAUAAAAAAUAAAUCAAUAAAAGUCCAAUCUCUAAUCCACCAUGGGUACAAAUUAUUAGAUGACCAAAAACCUUUAUAACUUCUUUAAUUUUCUUGUACAAAUUAGCACAUUGGUUUUUAUUUAAUAAUUUUUUUCUUCAAUAAAACUUUAAAUGCUCCAAUGUAGACUUUGGAUCCUUUCUAAGUAUCUUCAAAAGUACCUUGCAUACUUGAUAUUUGGUCACAUUUUUCUAUACUAAUUAAUAACCUUGAAAUGAUCAAAUUAUGUACAUAGCUCCAAACCAUGAUUAUAUAUUGUCUAAAUAGUUUUAGAAGGUACUGUAUGAUGAAUUAAUUUUAAAAAAAUCCAAUUUCAUCUUUUCAAUACCUAUAAAUAAAAAAUAAAAAUAAAAAUACAUAUUAAAUUUGUUUGAUAUUUCAAGAAUAUUUAUCAAACACUCUUUUAACUACAUUGUUUCACAAACCAUAUAACUAUUCAUCCUACAAAUUCAAUCUAUAAUUCUAAAGCUAAAUCAUCAAUCUUAAAUAAUCUUAAAACCAAUAAUUUAUUUCUUUACAUAUUUUAAUAACUUUAUUUCAACCUACAACUUUAAUUUUAAAAAAAUAAUAAUAUUAUAAGAUAAACUUGAACUGUAAAUGUCAUCUACUUAAGAAAAUUCAUCUUAUAAACUUUCCUACAUAACUUCAAUUAUAAUUUGAUAUGAUGCAAACAUGCUUCAAGAAUUUACAAUCACAACAUGAAGUUUUUUAAAUGCACUCACUAUUUGAUUGAAUAAAAAACCAACUUUAGAUCUAAAAAACAUCCAACCAAACAAUAUAUGUAAUUAACCAACUAAAAUAAGAUUUAUUAUUGCAAAUUCUAAUAAGAAUAACUUUCAACCAUCCAAUAUUCUUUUUUAACUUUUAAAUUCUAUCAAUUAUAUUAUAAAUAGGACUCAUUUGUCCUUUUCACUCAACUUUACCUAUACUUCUACUAACUUCUAUCAUCUCAAAUUUCAACUUGAAAAUUAUAUAGACAACUCUUACUAAUUAAAAUAUCAAUAUCUACAUUUUUUUAAACCUGAUAAUACUAAUUACAUUCACUCAUCACUAGACUCUUGCAAUUUCUAAUUUGCCAUAAAAAUAUACAAAAGAAACAUGAAAAAUAAAAAUAAUAAAAGUAUCACUUACUACACCAAUUCAAAAUUAUUUCUAUAUCUAUACAUAUAUUCAUUCUUCAAUAUAAUUUAACUAUUAAGCAUAAAUACAUCUUAUAUAUAAAUAAAAAUGAAAAUGCUUCUAUAAGAGAAAAAAAUUAAAUCCAAAAUCCAUUAAAUAUUUUAAAAUCAUUAAUAAAUAUCUUACAAAUAAUUCUUCGAUCUACAUUUAUAGAUAUUCUACUAAAAAUAUCCAUAUUUUUUACUAAAAUAAAAAAAUUGAUACAAUAUAUUAAGUCACUUAAUAUUUUGUUAAUAUAUACAAGUAUAAAUCUAAUUGAAUAUAAUAUAAAAAAUUAAAAUAUGAUUUAUAAGAGAUUAUGAUGUAUAAAUUAAUUAAGUAAUUUUAAAAAACUAAAUAAAAAAAUUUGUUGUACUAAAAAAAUCUAUUUUAUAAAGAGACAUAGCUUCAUUUUAUUCUCAUGCAACUUUUACUUAUAAACUAAAUUUAUUCUCUUUUAAAAUAGCACACUUUUAAUUUUCAAUAAAAACAAUAAAUUAAUUAUUUUUUACUUCUAAUAACAACUAAUGACAUAAAAUACAGUAUUUGAAAAAGCAAACCCUCAAUCUUCCAAAAACUAUUUUCAUGUCCUUGUACUCAUUUUGCAAUCCAUCUAAUUUAUCAUACCAUCAACACACCACUCUCUAAUCCAUUUGGAUUAACACAACUAUCUAUUUAUUAUGAAAAGCAAGCAAGGUACAACAAUCUUUAUCAAUUAAUUUUACAACACUUCUAAUUACACCAACAACAACAUAUUAAACCUAAUUCAGCAAUUGUCACCCAUCUCAACUAAUUAUGAGACUUAACAACUUAAACCAAGAUAAAGACUUUCCAACAAAUGCACACAAAUCAACUAUUACUAAUUCAAAUUGUCCAUAUAAUUUGAAAAUCUCAACCAUGUCAAUUCAUUCUAAGAAUGUUAAUUUCAAAUACUUGCCCUCAUAACAAUAUCCAUCUAAUCCACUACACCAUCAACAAACCACUACAUAAUCCUACCAAGAGCACACAAUUGCCAAUUUAUUGAAAAAAAUUAUUACUAAUUUAUUACAAACUUAAAAUUACUACCAAAGCAAUGCUACAUUAAUGUAAUUAUUCCCUAUUGCAACUCCAACAAUAUGUUUAAUCAAAAUUUUAUCUAACUUACCAACAAUAUCUUCAUAAUAAUGUAGACAAUAAUGUAGACAAUAUAUGUAAUAUAUGUAUAAUUAUGAGUCAUAAUUAUAUGUAUAAUUAUGAGUCAUAAUUAUAUGUAUAAUUAUGAGUCAUAAUUAUAUGUAUAAUUAUGAGUCAUAAUUAUAUGUAUAAUUAUGAGUCAUAAUUAUAUGUAUAAUUAUGAGUCAUAAUUAUAUGUAUAAUUAUGAGUCAUAAUUAUAUGUAUAAUUAUAAGUCAUAAUUAUAUGUAUAAUUAUAAGUCAUAAUUAUAUGUAUAAUUAUAAGUCAUAAUUAUAUGUAUAAUUAUAAGUCAUAAUUGUAAGUUGUUUAUAUAAUUAUACAUAUAAUUAUGUAUAAUUAUAAGUCAUAAUUGUAAGUUGUUUACAUAAUUAUACAUAUAAUUAUGUAUAAUUAUAUGUAUGUACAUUUCCAACAACUAUGACCUACUUGCUGCAACUCAUGUCUGAUCAAGGGCAUGUUGCAAUCAAGGGCACUACCUCGGGAUCCGUCGCUCCCAUUCUCUGCACUAUAGUGGAGGGGAAAAGGUCCUAUGCUGCUACUAACUCCAAUGAGUGUUGAACACUUCAUUCACACUCUUCAUCACAACGGAGCUUUCAAAUCGACAAAAAAGACACAACUGCUGGCAAAAGACUUUGUUGUCAAGGUCGACGUUUACUUCAACCUGCAAUUUUCAUUCCCAAUGUUUACCACCGAUUGGAUUGUCCAAAACUCGAAUUCCGAACAGGGCAAAAUCGAACACGUAUCUAUCCGGCAUCUCUAAUCUUCAACAGAAGCGAGGGGGUGAAUAUCAUGCACGUAGUCAUCAAUAUCCCUACACGAAUUCCUGGUGCUUUCUUCAUUUUCAACGACUGUCAAUUCCUCUUGCAGGGCGUCCAGUUUCUUUAUUUCCCUUCGUAUAAUAUGCUUUUCUGGUUCCAAAUUCCUUAGUAAUCGAUGAGUAAUGGUGAAGUUGUGUGUCACUAUUUCCUUUUCUACACACCCAAAAUCUCUGUUACAAGCACGGUAUCGCAGUGUCCAUUUUGAGAAAUCUGGCUUCUGCUUUGACACCUGUGUACAUCCAAACAAUGAUGUGAACCCACUGGUACGUAUUACUGUUUGAUCACCAAUCCGCUGCCAUCGCAACUGAGUACAUGUUACUCUAUGGUAACUUUCGACCUCGACGGGACCCAGCCUUCACCAUACUUAUCGAAGCACAAUGAGGUUCUGUGUUACACUUACACGACAGAACUACCGCGAAAUUAGUUCUUAACAACAGACAACCCGAAGUCGUCCUCUGCGAAUUAACUUAGACGGCCUUCACUUCCGGUUGGCAUGAAUACGGGCUGAUCACCCUUCCCCAAACCCACUACUUCUCUAAACAAGUGCAUCAAUGCUGUCCGACCAACACACUCUGACUGUGCUCAGAACCCCAGUCAGAACCUCACAACCGCCAGAACCAUCAUAACCUCGCUGCUAGAACGCCAUGAUCAGAGAAAACAUUCAACUCCAACUCCGACAAGGCCAUGACUGCGCCACUACCACCGCAGCUCACCUCUACUGCCCGGGUUAAUUCCCUCACUCGCUGUAGGAACCGCCACAAAAUCCCCGCGAGUCGGUUUUGUACGAUGCAAACAAACCAAGCGCUCGCCUCACGGAUUGAUUCGAAGCAAAGGAAACAACAAAAACGGAAGCAAUCAUGCACACAAGUGUUUCUUAUUCACCACCUCCCCCUCCUCCUCCUCCUCCUCCCCCCCUGAGCUCCCGUGCGGCAUCCCCGGGAGCUCUGUACAGAUCCCAAUUACCUAGACACGACUGUUAUCGGCUUUCACAACACACUGCAUCGGUCCGCAAGACGUGUCCUCCUACACUCGGACUCACGCUUCGACCCCUUUCCAACCAAGACAUCCGCAGCAAGUGUCCCACUCCGAUCCCAGCCACUCAGACAACCGGAUCUUGUAAGCAGCAACACUAAGCUGAACAAGAGGAAAUGCGUACCAGCAAUUCCCCGCUCUCACGUCAUUGGCGUCCAGCACAGCACGGCGAUGCUACGGCGUGUAAGAAUGCGCAGAUUUGAGCAAUUCGAAGCAUGAAAGCACGGAGCUCUCAGGGUUUUGCGGCGAGGGCAAGAAAAAACAACGGGAAGGCUUGGCUCCGUCAGUGAGCCUGAAACCCAACUCUAAAUGGAUGAAAAAGUUACUCACUUCUUACACUCAUUCGUAUGACGAUGCACAGAAUGGUGAUUGGGUUACACUCUGUUCAUCAACCCCUGCCUGGUUUUCCAGCUACGUUGCUCCCAAACCAAUUUGCCUAUAUUCAUCGACAUAUGAAUUAAAGUUGAUUUCACCCUUUGUCAUCUGAAGUCUGAGAAAUUGCACAUAACUUUACCACUCACUGAUCGGUCCGUACAAGGUUUUUUUUUUCUCCUUUUGGAAUCUAUGAAAAGUUAACCGUAAAACCACAACUAGAAGCGAUGCACUGACGAUGUGUCCAGCAAAGUCAUACACGGAAUAGACAAGAACGAGUAGAAGACGACUCUGGAGAAUGCUCCGAGUGUAGUAGAAAAUUGGAUUGAUGAGAACAUAAACUUGACACAAAAGAAAAAAACAAUCUGGGAUCUCCAGGAAAAUACCAUGUACAGGAAGUGUGGAGAUGAACUUUGUUUCCACCAUCGUCAUCUCUCCCUUAGAAGUCUAUAAUCCAACAGAAGUAACAAGUGCCAACUUCUUCCCCUAACAACAAUCACCCUUGCUCGUGUUGGUACUGCUCCUUCCUUCACAAUUAUAUUCACACAACCUUAGUUGUGAAAAUAAACUUGUGAAUAUAUAGUGGGACUAGUACAGAGAAAGAGGAGACACUUCAAAGAUGAUAAUUUUCUGCUACUAGAUCAUAAGGAAAUAUCUUCAUUCAGUGGCAAAUCGCUUCCAUGGAGGGUGACUAUACAUGACAAGUCGGGAAGUAGCAGAUGCCAUGCGUUGGCCAUGUUUUACAGAAAGUAAUCCGGAGUCCUUCGCGUCACAUCUGGUUCACUUUGUCUCGGCGCUGGUUCGAAUUGAAGGAAGGAUCGAUUCAUGGUUUCGUCUAUCUCCAUUAUGGCUGCCAUGUUCCCACAUCGGUAACAGUAGUUGGGAGCACUGAAAACUGUGACGACAUUUUUAUCCUGCAGCUCAUCAAAACAGCUAGGUUAGAGAAUGGAAAAUCAAAACUGAGACAUCCUCUCCAAACAUACGUCAAUUUAAUUUUAGUUUGAAUUAAUCAUUAUAUUUAAAAAUAAAAAUAGACCUUCGAAGCAGUAGAACAUUAUAGAAGAGAGAACGAGCAAAAGUAGACAGAUUCAUUCCAAGCAGACUUGACUAGAAAAUGCCCUGCAGCAAUUGAAAAGCGGGGGUACGCCAAAAGUGAAACGACAGGGAUAACGAUCAAGCAGCACAGCAGGGAUGGAAACCAAACGAACCUGGCACCAAUUGUAGCCUUCCAUCACAAGCUGGUGAGCACGUGCAACUAAACUAAGGCCAUUUGUGUGGUUGAAUUGCUCUGCAAUGUCUUGGCCAAACGUAUAACCAGCACCACGUGGUGAAAUACCCCAUCCGCAACGAUCAUCGGGAUCAGACCAGAGCAGAUCACACAUUGGCCCCUCAUGCGGGACCUCUUGAAUACGAUCCAGAGCACGGAUGUGGUCUAAUGUAUCGAGUGAUGGAGACAGACCACCAUGGAGGCAAAAAAUCUGCCCACAAAAGCAUAUCAAUGUAGAACGUGUCGAAUUAGGAACACCAGGCAAAGACAAAAGGUUAAUCUACGAACCAAUCACUGAUUCCCCAUGAAAACAUAUGCUUAUUAAAUUCUCUUAUUAUCAAACAUCCACAAUUAGGAAAUAAUAAAUGGUUUAAAAUUAUGAAGUUCUUCUACGUCCUGAAUUCUUUGUCAAUGUAAUACCUGGUGCUCAAUAAGAGCUGUCAGAGGAAGGUAGUCAAAAAGGUCCGUGAAGUACUUCCACACGUUUGCAUUUCCAUACUUUCGCAGACAUUCAUCAUAGAAACCGUACCUGCAAUCAGUAGGAGAUCAGCUGAGAGAUGGGUGCAUACUCCGGUUAGCUUCAGAAGGUAGUAUUUUAGGUGCAUCUUAAAUUAUAUAGCGCAAAACAGAACGAUUCGAUUACGACUCCAUGACAGUGCAUACUCGAUGUCAAUUAGUUUAUAUACAGCCCAGUGCUAUUUAGACAUCGUUUAUAUUCAGUAAAGGAACAGUGGAGCUACUUACACUUGAGUAAUCUGCCUGCUCUCGUGAUUCCCUCGCAAAAUUGUGAUCCUAUCUCUAUACCGCACCUUCAAAGCCACUAACAACGACACGGUCUCAACAGAAUAGUAUCCACGAUCUGCAACAGAACGAACAAGUGUAUGGUUACCUAAAAUGUCCAUAAACAAGACAAAUCGAACGCAUCUGGGAGGAACUAAACCUUUUCCAAAAUAAAAAGCUACAGGCCUAGAUUUGGCGACUAUCUCUCAUCGCUCUAUAUCAGAGCACUAAUCAUUGACAGAAGCCUACCACAGAACCCUGUAGUCUUGUAGUACUUUUCCUUUAUCAGGUACAGCAGUCUUUCACUGAAUCGGGUUGACCUUGCUACAGUUCCAAUAUAAGAAAUUUGGAAUUGCGGCACCAAGCACACAUGGAAAAAUUCCUGUCACACGACACGGCUUCUGUUUGGAAAACAGGUGGUCAUGUACAGGGAGUGUGAUGAAGUUUUCAGCUACACUGGAUUGCGUUCCGAAAAUCACGCUGGCAACUGCGUCAGACCAUGUGACCAACAUGUUUACUUCCACCAAAUCAAAUCACCAAUCUCACUAACACAGGAUACGAUAAACUACCCAUUGGAAAGUGCCAUCUCCCGAAGGCUUUCGAAAAAACGGGCGGAUAAGCACAUUCGUUAAGAAGCUGCAACACCUAACCAGAAACAACCAGUACUGACCAGCAAGAUGCUAAGAUUAAAAUUCCCCUGAUCCAAUUAACCAAAAACCGGAUAUAGAGCUAGUUGACGGGAGAAAGGAUCUCCAGUAACAUUAUUAAUCUUAUCACAGGAGCAUGACUUCGGAGUAUGUCAAAGUUAAAAAGCCAAUGCGAUAAAGUGGCAAGUGGAUCACACAAUACAGAUGCGAUCCGCAGCCCAGGCCUAGACUGAACAUCUGCGAUGAUCUGUCGGUGUAAAAGUAUCAGACAGCUACACACUCACAACUGGCAUUUAACAAAUGAACAUGUACACAGUCCCAUUUUCUGGGUGAGAGAUUCGUGCAACAAAACCACCGUGUAUAAAAUUGCAGAUAAUCUCUUACGCCGGUUCCGAAAAUGACGUGCGUACAACUGGCCAUGAGAUUACCACGUUCUGAAGGGCAGGAAGCCAUCAGGACGAUUCAAGCGCUACUUGAUUAUCUAGAAAGCCAACAAAUCCUGUGCGAUCAGCGACCAGAUUGAUUCAUUACCCAAAUUCUACCGAAGCAAAUGCAAGCGCAACGCACUAUUUUGAGUGCACAAAGUGCGGAGAUCUCGUGCACGAGAAAGCUCUUACCCACGGGAGGAAGAGAACUUCCUACGAUGCAAAGAGGGAAACUGCGUGAACAGUACAACGCCAAGGCGAGAGCUCGACCACUGAGCUGUUUGGGCUAAACCUUGAGAUCCAAUGACAGACCGGAGACGAGAUAUCCACAAGGAAAAAGAUCAGUAACGAACGAUCACCUCUUUCACCACAAGUGCCACUCGCAUUGGGUCACAGACACUUUAAAGGAAGAAGAAAUUAAAAUUGGGCAUCUGAGCAAAUACAUAAAUCCGCAACUUACCCACGUAGUCGCCCAUGAACAGGUAAUUCGUAUCGGGCGCCUUGCCUCCGAUGCGGAAGAGCUCGAUGAGAUCGUGAAACUGGCCAUGGAUAUCUCCGCACACAGUGACGGGACAUUUCACAGGCUGCACAUUCCACUCCUCCACCAAGACCGUCCGAGCCUGAUCACACAGGUUCUUCACCUCCAACUCAGACAACGGCUUGCACUCCGUCAGUUGCUCUAUCUGCCGGUCUACAUCUGCAUAGGACGGCAUUGUGCCAGCCUCGCAAAAAACCCCGCCCUAUACCAAACCCUAACCAGCCCGCUUUCUCGAGCUAUUUCGAUUCCCCCUUCCCUCACCCUUUCCUCUCCAACAACACUCUACUCCACCACCACUUUCGGUCACGACUCACCACAAACACGGACUUACACUAACACUCCACACGCUGCAACACCUCCUGCUCAGCCGAUCCAGCUACUAUCGCCCACGCGCAAAGUAGCAGAAAAACCGCGAUCCCGCACCGUUUCCCAGUCCGUAAAAGCGAAAUGAAACAAAGCGAGCAGCUCUCCUUCCUGCAGAAGCAAUGCCUGAACCUGCUUGCGCCUGCCAGCUGCGACUCAGCGCAGGUGAAGAGGGCGCGAGUGCUGGCCAGGCACAACCAAGGCAGAGUCCAGAAAGAGGCAGAGUCAAAGCUCAGCGACAACCGGCCACAGCCACCACGCUCCCCUGCUCUACACCACCCCCUCCCCAAGCCCCGCCCGACGCCCGACUUCUGCUUCCUAUCCGCCGGCAUACCCCUGGCUGUCCCCUUGCGUUUCCGUGAGUCCACGUAGGAUGAUCAGGUGUGGGGUCCAGUGACAGCGCACUGGUUCGCAAACUCACACCCCGAGGUGGUUUCAGUUCGGUAUAAUCGUCGAGGGUUCGAACCCUGGUCACAGCGAGGUACUAAUCCCAUCUACUGAGAGCCACGUGGUGAUGGUUUUAGAAAUGUUUUUGAUAGUGGGCUGAUAUGUAAGAAACAUAAAACAAUAUUAGAAUUUUAAGUAUGUCUAUUUUUGAGUUUCAAAAUGAAAUACCUUAUACAUAGAGAUAUAUUCAUUUAAUUAUUGUAGACUUAAAUAGAAGUAAAUUUGGGUAUUUGACAAAGUUCUUAGAUUUUGCUUAUAUAUUUGUUUUUUUAUAUGGGACUAUUUAUUGAAAUUGAAUCAAUUAGGGAUUGGGGUUUUUUUAAAUUGGACUUAUUGUUGUCGUGUAUUAUCCAAGAUAAUUAUUUUUUAAAGAUUUAAGUGUAUGAAGUGUUGUUAAUUGACAAGUAGUAAAUAAUUGAAAAUAAGUGUAAGGAUAAUUGACACUGCAAGUGAUAAAAGUAUACAGUAAUUUUACAUGAAAUUGUUUAUCUCACCUAUCUGAAUUCAGAUAUCUGGCAGUUACAGUAAUUCUAAAGCAACUAAAUAUUCUAAAGUAGUUGUUGACCAUUGUUUUAACUCUGGCUCGUUGUUUUGUUUUAUUUUGUUCCAUGUUUUCCUUUGGGAAUUGUAGAGUAUAAAAAGACAAUAACUGGUUGAUGUAGUCGUGAACGAUUUUUUUUUUUUUAAAUAAUAAUAAUAAAUAAUACGAAUUAGAAAUUUUUAAAAAAAGCUGUUAAGACUUGGCUUGAAGUACCAUGAUUUUUCCUUGAUAUAUAACUUACUACAGUAUGUUGCACGAUUUCACAUUUCAAGUGGAGAUGAGCAAUAAAACUUUCAUUAAUUUUUUUUUUAAUAAAAACAUUGCUCCUGCAAUAACGUGUCUAUGUGAUGAUAUCUGAAGAUUGUCAACCACGCUUGCCUAAGUGCAAACACUCAUUAAUGGUUCGGAAUCUGUUCCUAAAAAUAACAAAACCUGAAUAAUCUGAGCUCAAUCAUCUCCCACGCUUAGUGAAAAAUGAUGAAUCGUUAGUUAGCUUCGAGAUUGUUUGCGUUCACAUUGAUGUGUGACCAUGGUUGUAUAAUUGACGCUUUUGUUUGAUGAACAGCAAGCCCUUUGCUCCUGUGCAGGCUUUCGAAUGAAAGCACAAUGUAAACUUGAACGGAAAACUCACUGCCGCACUUCUGGAUCCAGGUCUCAUGGUUAAUUUCAUGGUUGCAGCGUUCAUCUCCAUGGAAACUCCUGACAACGAGAAGGUAACAACCCGAUUUUGCCGUGUUCGUUUCUCCAGGAUGGAAAUUCAAGGGAGUGAUGGGUCCAUGAUCAGUGGAGUGCUCUUGGUUGUGUGCUAAAUGGAAAAGAGUGCGCACUUCUGUGUAUAUAUAAACAGGGGAUGUGUUAAUCGUGUGUGGAAUUUGACGGUGCAGGUGUGUGGUCCUCGACUACUCACAUCAGAACAUCCACAGGCAAACCCACGACGAAUCCAUUUAAAUCUUAAACAAUGGGUUUUAAGGGUGAAUUCCCAGCAUUUGCUUACAACAAAGACUCGAGUGAUUCCCCACGAGAUUUUCUUACUCGGAGUAUGAAACCGGGAUACUAAGGGUUUUGCACACUUCAUUGGAGGCCGCGCGACACAGGUUUCAGGAGACGUUACAAAUGGUCGACUUCAAAGAUGCUAUGCUUUCAGUUUACCGUUGACGUGCAAUGAUGUAGUGUCUCAACCAAUGCUCUCUUGACAGUGAAGUUGCAUUUUGAAUUAGCACGUUUGUUCGAUGUGAGGAGAUUAGAGAACUAAGCGGUUGGUUCAGCAAUAGUGACACGCAAUCCGUGGAUGUCAGUGACAACUCUCCUCCAAAGCUUUCGAAGCUGCGCAAGGAUACAGGAUGAUCGUUGAUUUAUAAUUCAUGACAAUUGAUCCCGCGUCAUUCCAAGGCUAAGGUAAUUUAGUGAGGGUAUGUAAUGUGAAUACAUCUACGCUUCUGUGUAAGUGAUUUCAUUUGCGUAGAAGGAUGUGAAAUGUGCAACGUGUUUCAUAGUAGAAUCAAUUUUUUUAAUCAAACAUUAAUUCUGAUGUUAUUGUAAUGUUGUUAUCAUUACAAUUGAGACAUAAUAUUCUCAUUAUUUUUUAAAUCCCUCCAUGCAGCAGCCGAUUUUUUCAUUAGCUGAUCAUAGAAUCAUUCUAUUGCACUAAAAUAUGUGUUCAGAAUGUGAGAGUAUAGUGUUUAUUACAUUUCGCUAAGUGUGGUGUUUUUAUUUUAAACUCCCAUUAAUGUUGAAUGUUGUUUAUAACGAUCAUUUCACUUGCUAGAUGGGUACCUUCUAGUUAUGAAACUAGAAAAUUCUGGAAUUUCAGAAUCUAUUUAACUUCCAAACUCAGCUGCAUUGGUAGGUGCAGAAUGGACGCCCCCACGCUCGUAAUACCAAGACGAAAAUAUGGAGUAACAUGCAGUCUCCGAUCUUCUAGGCUAAGAAAAGUCCGACCCAAUUUAGUACACAAGGCAUGUCUACAUGGACACGUCUUCGAAAAAAAUCUAAAAAGUAAAGGCAGAGUUUUAUCAUACACUUCGUCCAAUACAAGCACGGGGUUGUCCUGUCAACGUGUAUUGGAGAGUGAAGUUUUCUUUCCGGUAGGCCAAGCAUGUAGAGUUUCUUCACCUACGGCGAGAUAAUACACCAGAAAAUAAUAAGUGAACAAAUUUAUACAGCAGCAAGAUGUAUCAUUUAAGGCACUGGAACACAUUUACUAAGGCUUGACCAAUAGACAAGUGUUCUAAAGCAAAGUGCACGUAAACUAAUUGCAUCCUGAACAAUCGAUGAAAAAGCAGAAACAGUUAGCAAAACCAUCCGGGAUCAGCAGAAGUGAUCGUAUUCACAUACAUAGAUCAAGCCCCAUUUUGCAGAUGAAGAGCUAGGUGCAAAAACUGAAGACUAAAACCCAGAAACACCUACCGUUUCUGUCACUAGUUAGUUACCCAUUUGUGGACUUGUGGUGAUCAUCAUCGAUGGUGGAGUAUAUAUAACCUUCAUUGACAAGAAAAUCAAUCGCCUCCCUGCAAAUUUCCACGUGAUAAGAUUUUUUUCAUUGUAGAACCGUCUAAGUGAACACACAUGGACGAGAAAUUUCAACGAAUCAAAGCAGUGAAAUAACAAGAUCAUAACUACCUGACUUGAGCUCGAGUAAAGCCAACCAUCCUCUGAACAACUUGAUCAACAUGAAGUCCCUGCUCAACUUGUCUACAGACAUGACAAAUAUUCGAGCGUAAGCUUGGAAAGUCCUUUUGAGACUCGUUGUACAUCUACAAAAGAUGCAUAUUACCCUGUUUAUGAAAUAUAAGUGCAAAAUAAAGGAGUCAUAGUCUCAAAGAUCAGAGUGAAAGAAAGGCACUGUGUAUUACAGGCUAGCAGGCUCUUCAUAUAUGCUGUGGACCCUCCUCUGACAUUCCUCCUUGGCUCCACCAGCAGGUAUUGCUGAGGAAGCAAUGGGUGUCUUCACUGGCGUAUACAUCCCAUUCUGUGGAGUUGCCAUUGUGUUCCCUAGAGCCGGUGUAGCAACCGCAGAUACUCCCCCCUAGAACAUGAUUUUUUAACAGACUGAUUAGGAUCUGUUGAAUUCUUAAAUAGAUCGAGAAUAUACCUCGCAAUAGGCUAUGCCAACAAUAGAAAGAUCCAGGAAAUCAAUUUCAAGGGAAGUGGCAUACUCACCUUCCGUGUUCGAGAAAGGUGCACAUGGAUCACCUCGAGAAAGUGAAACGUGACUUCAUUAAAAUCAGUAAUAGGCCUGCAUAAAAGUAUGUAACAGGCUAUGAUCAAACAUGCUGAAAGAACAAGAAAAUGGCUGCCAAAAUCUAUUUGCGUUGCACAUAAUUUUUUUGUUUGGCCAAUUUGAAUCCAUCCUCUUCGAAUAUAUAUGAACGAUCGUAUAACUAAAACGUUGCAUGCAAAACAGAACCAUUUGCAUGUGAAAGGCCGAUCUUUUGCAGAUCGCAAUUACAUUUGAAAGAUGAAUAUAGAAUAUGCAAUAGCCUUAACAGCAAGUACCUUACAGAGAAGGCUACUACAUUAAGCUUAUUUUGAAAAGUCCGUAAAUGACCGUGAACACGGACGUACAUAAAAUUUCUGGAGCACAACCCAGAUUAAAUUCAGUCAACACAUGAUUAGAACAUAAUGAUAAUAUUGCAGCCUGAAGAGGCAGUCAAAACAUUGCAUCCACAUUAAAGAUUACCAAAACCAGCACCUACACACUUGAUAAAGCCAAAGGGAAGAAGGCACUGAACUAUUAGAACUGUUGGAUCAAUCUCAAACCAUGCGACAAAAACCAAUUUCAUCAAUAACCCAACCGUUUUCACAUAAAUACACAAUGAGAAAGUGUGCUUACUGUACGCUUUGCAUUUCAAAGUACUCAUAUGAGUCCUGGCCAUCAAUCCUGCGGUGGAGCAUCAUGAUUUUUUUGUUACAACACUGGGACGAACAUCCUUCCAAUUAGAAAGUUUGGAAGUGCUACAAAUAGAUUUACAGCACUUAAUUUGGAUCCAUCACAGGUAAGUUAAUAUACACAGUAUAAACAUUACAUACUGGACUAAUGACUCGCCUAGCCAUUGUUGGUCAAAGACUGGGAAUUCAGAAGAUCGACCAUGAGCUGAUAGGAAAUGGUGCAAACCCGUCGCAAGAGCAUGCAAAGAGAAAGUAGCUAAACGGACUUGCGUAAUUACGAUAAGCAAUUGAUGAUCCUGAUCUUUGAAUAAAGUCAGGUACGGUACACAUAGUGUUGUAAAUGACUGUUACACGUUAACAUAAUUAUCCCCACCAACAUAAAUAUGCGGAUCAUGAAAGCAAAGGCAAAACAAAAAGAAAACUGACCAGCGUUUGACCUCGAUGCGGCCUGUUGUGUCGUCCAACAUGAAAGAAGUAUCGAUAUUUCUCUCAUCCUUGUCAUGCACCAUGCCCACUAGGGUUACCUGCAUAGGUACAAAUACAAAGACAACGAAUAAGCGUGUAAGUCACUAUGGCAUCCUAAACAACUUGCAUUGACGACCUUAAACUUGGAUAAGUAAAAAUAAAGGAUUUGAAGAGACUGAAGGUAAGAGAAACCACCUAACAGUUCAUAUUCACAAAUGGACAUUGAUUUCGCUUACAUUGCUCAAUUAAACGAAUUCAAUAUCUCACAGAGAAAGUAAGACCUUCUCAUGCAAUGAAGAAAGGACUGGAGCAAGGUAUGUAACGACUAGGCAAUAAGAGAGGAGCAGGUGCAAUAGGCAAGCUUUUCCACACGUACAUUAUUGAUCUCCAGUCCAUCGACGUAGAAAGCAUCAUCUCCAGGCUUCUGUGAAGCUUGACUGAUCAUCUUCACUGUCAAGGGCUGCAGUCCACCGUCCUGACCCCCUGAUCUCUGGAAACUCCCGCCAAAAACCUCAGUAUCAUCAGCGAACCUAAAACGAAGUCCAAUAAACCCUAGGUACCGCAAGAAUAUUACGAAUGCGACGAUUCUAAACAUUUCUAGUUAUUGGGUUGCAUUAACUUCUGGCAAAGAUGAGUUCAGCAACACUAUUAGGGGAUUACUAAGAUAGAAGCCCAGGGUUCACGCCUCAUAGGAGACAGUUGCACAAUUGAGAGAAAAAUAAUAAGCAAGCUCCAAAUCCAGUGUAAAUGAAGUGCAUGUCGUAGUUCAGCUCAAGUUCAUAAAGUUUACAUGCACGAUCGAGUUUUGAGGACCCACAAAUUAGUCGGACAAUAGUGCGUACCCUGCUAGCUCCUGAGACAGAGCUGCUGAACUCAUUGCCAGUGGCAGCUUGCGACGGCAUGAAGCCACCCCCAGCAAACAAGGACGCAUCUCCGCCACCUCCACUCUCUUGAUACAUGUCUUCUCCUUCCUUUUCUCUCUCCCUCCCUCGCUCUCUUCACAAAUCCUCAAUAUCAAACCUGCCUCAAUUCUUUGACAAGCAAACAACAGUGGCACCCUGAAACAUAAAACGACUAGAACCUCUCGAAUCACGCUGCAGAAGCGUGCGGGUUUGAAUUUUUACGCUGCAAACACAAAGCCAGAUUGUGGCGCCGUGGUUCGAACCCCCCAAAAAUACUUAAAGGAUCAAUGGAAGGUAGGGUCUGUCCCUUCGUCUCUUCUUUCUACCAACGUCUUCCCGCCCAUUUGUCGUCGACACCACGAACCCCGAUUCUUAAACCUUCGUGGACAUAGGGCACGCUGGUAGGGAUACGCAGUCAUAGGUGCAGUAGUCCUUGCGCUUUUUUUGGGUCUGAUUGAGGUAGGGAGGGAAACUUGUAAAAAUCAUCUUGUAGCACGACUUGGGAAGUAUAUCGUUGUAUUUCAGGGAAUAGAUGAGCUUUUAGUGAACAGUGCGAGACAAAUAUCAAAUAAUAUGAUGGAUCAUGCGUGAUUUGAAUGUGUGACUCGCAAGUGAAGCUGCUCAACAUGUCGUUGGACUGUGUACAUCUUGGUAGGAUUUGCUCAUCGGUAAAUGAAUUUAUGAAAUCCGAGCAUGACCGAAUCCCAAGUGUUUCAUACAACGUGUCCAGCAAUAUAUGGAUCUGCAGUUGCCAGCAUCAUGUUUCAAGUGUCACGGCACCGCCCAGAAAAAGCUGCAAAUGAAUCCUUUGAGUGUGAGAACUGAGUUGGGUUAUCCGGAAUCGAAUGCGAACAAUCGACUGCGGAGCUUCUAUCCUUGAUAGGUAAUUCCGUUCUGCUUUUGAACAGCAUUUUCAUUCUAGCCAACUGGUCUUCGCAAACCGAAGGGGGAGGUUCACACUUUGAAUUUGUCUCCGUUUGUCAUCGAGACUCAAUUUCUCGAAAUUGCACUGCCAUGACUCUCUCCGACGCAGCUAACCAUAUCUUAUUGAACUCAGGAUUAUUGCAAUCUCGGACGCUGGGGGAAUUUGUCCUCCAAGAUUCAGACCAGCCAUUGCCUGCGCAGAACCUGUUCUCUUCCUCUGAUGCAUUGCCUACCAUCGACCUUUACUGUGCAGGCGCAGCGGAGCAGUUGGCCGCAGCCUGCCGGGACUGGGGCUUUUUUCAGAUUCAAAAUCAUGGCAUCCCACUGGAACUUCUAAACCGACUACGAGCACAUUCUCACUCAUUCUUUGAGCUGCCAUUGGAACAGAAGGAGCGAGCAGCCGCAUGUAGCGCAAAUAGCUUCUAUGGCUAUGGAAUUGCGAAGGGACGUACGUACUCCCCCAACGCAUGGAUGGAGGCCUUUCACAUGGAAUGGACACCUGCCUCACAAGUGCGCAGGCACAUGGAACGAAUUGGGAUUCCCCAACCUCAAUUCGAAGGUUUCUGGUGAGCAAUUCUGCGGUAACCUGGUUCAGUUUUGUACAUGGAAUUUCCAAGCCUCUCAAAAUAUGGAUUCUGAUGCUCUCAUGCUAGGGUUGACUUCGGGCGACUUAUCAACAAUCACUACGAAUUUUUCGAAUUCUAACAUUUGUUAUCGAUGCGCGAGAUACUUUUGAAGUGAGGCGGUGGAGCAAUACGCUUCUCAGGCGGAGAAGCUGGCCGUGCAGCUCAUGGAACUUGUGGCAUUAGGUCUUGGCCUGGACGCAACAACCUUCUCUCGGCACUUUGCAGGGUCGAGCACCUCAACUGUGCGCAUGAACUACUACCCACCUUGCCCACAGCCCUCUCGGACGCUAGGAAUCUCGCCACAUUCGGAUUUCAACAUUUUCACAAUCCUGCUGCAAGACACCGUUGCUGGGCUGCAAGUGCUUAAGGACAAUGACGAGUGGGUCACCGUGAAGCCAAAUCCUAACGCACUGGUUGUCAAUGUCGGCGACACUUUACAUGUGCGUUAUCGUAAAACCAAAACCCUCAUAUCCUUGAACCAUCAUCUCAACUUCGUAACGCUUGUCUAGAAACCAAGCUUCUGCUUGAAAUUUUGGAGCUAGUAAGUCACAUGCAUCUUCUAAUGGAUGCAGGCUUGGAGUAACGGGAGAAUCAAGAGCGUGAUGCACAGGGCCCUCGUAAACACAACAGAACCCAGAUUAUCGGUGGUUUACUUCUUCGGUCCUCAUCCUGACACAAAGAUAGACCCUAUACCGGCGUUGGUAAGCAGUGAUUGUCCCCUACGAUAUAGAAGUUUUGUAUACAAACAAUUCGUCGAGCAGAUCCUGCAGAAUCGCGGUAAGAAAGUCUUCGAGAGUCCCCUCAACUCUCUUCUUCUGUAGCUUUGAAUCUUUCAUGGUUUGCUGCAAAGGUUACUUUUGCUGUUGCAAAAAUCACAUCAAAUUGAGAGCCUUUAAUUAAACAGAAGUUUGUAGAUGUACUUUCUCCAUUAGAGUCCAUAUUAUUGCUUGCAUCGUGGUGUUCAAUAUCCAUAAUCCAGCCAAGGACUGCAGAAGUCUCGAUGAGUAUUUCUGGGUUUCAACUGAUGAAGAUUGAGCAUAAUUUCCCAAGUAAAUAGUGCAUGUCGGAGAGGGUGGGCAGCCUAUAGCAGUGUGGUGAUAAAUGUCUUCUUCGAUGAUUCAAUGGAGAACUGUGAAAGACUUAGCAAGCUCUACUUAACUCAUUUACUCCUUUUUUUGUGAAUGUGUUUUUGGGGUCCAGAUUCUUUUCCUCUUUCUCAUGAAGUAACGAAUUGACACUUUAAAACAUCUCCUGAAUUAACAAACAUGCAAUGUUCUGUGUUGAGAGCCAGCUAAAUAAGCAAAGCACCAGAAUCGAACUUUGGAGAAUGGCCAUUUGGAAAAUCUUUGCAGAACAGCACAUUAAUUUUUUGUUUUGCUUUUCUUGGAGUGAUAAAAGAAAAUUUUCUAGAUUGUUCAUCUUGAGGGAUGUCUCUAGCAAAUAGUCCUACAGCAUUAUGAUAUACAAUAUUAUACAACAUUUGAGAGUUGUUGUAUACAUUUAGCAUGUGAUAGAGGUUUUUCCCUACACAACGUAUAAAUAUACGAUUUUAAUAACUUAUUGCAUAAUAGUUAUUUAUUUGAUAGCACAUAAUUGUUUAAAUUUCAUUACUUCUUCUAUUUUGCAAUAAAUACCAUAAGAGCAGAACUACAUAUUUAGAAUAACCUAAAUUUAUUUUUCAAAUUUUCAAUCUUUGUGUAAUUUUCAACACCUAGCUAUCCACAUGAAAAUUGUAAUUUUUUCUUCUUUUGUUUACUUUUCAUGUAAAGUAUCUUCUAAUAAAUAAAAAUAAUAAUAUAUAACAAUUAAUAUUCCAAAAAAACAUAAAGUCUUCAACAUGGCCUGCCUGUUGGUUAUUAUGUACAAAGACAAAACUAAGACCACUCUUUAUAUUAUCACUAGCUAUCUUGUAUUUUAUUCUUAAUUCAAGAUUAUUUAAUCCUUUAAACUUGGUAAUAACUAUUUUAAUAUCUUCUUCUUUUAUAAUCAUAUUUACUUUCAUUUUUAAUAUAUUUUUUUUGUAAAUUUAUUUUUAAAAUUUUAAUAUGUUUAUAUUUUAACAUACAUAUUAGCUUUUUAGAAAUGUUGUUAAGGAUUUUUGGUUACAUAUAAAAAUGAUUGUAAUAUAUUAUUUAUUACUUAUUAUGCUUUUGUAGAUGUAACAUAGUAUUAAAAUUUAAUGCUUAAUUAAUCUACUAGUUUUUUAACUAUUUGUAAUUACACAUAGAUAUCAUAUUUUUAAAUUUAUUUAUUUAUUUGUAUAAAUUUAAAGUUAAAUUUAUAUUCUUAUUUGAUACUAUUGCAUUGUACUUUGAUUAUUAUUAGUGGUGUCACUGCUAUAAAAAAAAAUUAUUUUAAAUAAUUGCACAAUGUCUACUAAACUCUAUAUAAUUUUUUAAAAACCAUGCUUUAAUAUAUAGCCAUCCCAAAUAAGAUGUUCUUUUAACCAAUAUGUAUAAAAAUAUAUUUUGAUGUUUCUAUUUACUAAUUGAAUUGUUUUUGUUGGUUUUAACAUCUAGUCAACCCUUUUGGAAUGCAACUAAUAUUCUAUCAUUAUUAAUAAUUCAUUUCGAUUUUUAGUACCUAAUUGGAUCUCUUUAUUUUUAAUGUAAUGAAUUUAAAGUAUUUUACUGUGCCACUAGACACAUAAGUAGAAUAUUACACUUGUGAAUUAGAGUAAACUCAAACAUUAAAGAACUAAGUAACUUUAACAAAAUUUGCACAAACUGCAAUGCUCCGGCGAGCAUCUCUGUGAUGCAAAACUGACGACUCUACGUUGACAAGCACGAUCUAUACGUGUAUUUCGGCUCAUUCAGAAAACAACAAUCAAACAUGGAGUUAAUAUACUAAGCAGGGUUAUAUGCCGCAGCCUUGUGAUAGCAAUUUCACACCAAAGACUGCAUGUUUUACAUGGAAGAACAACCACAUACAAAUAUGGUCAUUACACAUAAUUGACGAACAGUGAGAACGUCAAACAAAAUAGCGCUUGUUUCCAUAACCUUUUAUGUUUGUUCCAAAUUGGUGCACAUGUACGAGUUGACAAGUGAUAAGUCGAGAAGCCUUACACAACCCAUACAACGCAUUCUUAAUACUAGGGUGAAGAAUGAGAGCAACGAGGAUCAAACAAUCAAACAUAUCCUUUACUGCUGAAGGUAUAAGGAGUAACAACUAAUGAUCCCCUCCAACACUAGCAAAAGAUAUAAGUUUUGUGCCACUCAUGACUGCAAUACACACCUUAGGGAGCAACAAACUAAGACGCUUCCAUGUUAGAGACACCCAAUUCACCUAACAGAGCGCUGUGUAGCUAGUUGUUUAUCAAGAGCUUCACGUUUCUGAGCUCGCUUGGCCCGGCGGCCAGUAGCCUCUUUCGGAGAAGCCUUUUCCUUGCCUUUUCCUGGACGGAAGGAAGAAGAUCCCGCUUCAUCAGCUUGCGCAACUGCAGCUGCUAGAUGCCGGACGCCCACAGGUCGUGCCUCGCGACGGCCAGCACGGACAUAACCAUUGUCACCCCAACGUCGAUUCCCAAUGCGCACGUUAGACUUGAAAUAGUAAUCAUCAAAUUCUUCAUCUUCAUAGUAGUCCUCGGGUUCUUCUGGCUGGGCGAAAACGGGCAUGCCUUCAAACCAAGAUGCUCUCAGCAGAAGGCAGACGCUUUCUUCAAUUAGAUAAUCAUUGAGGCUGUACACAACAAUUGCUCCUCAGAAAACUCAUUCAGAAAUAUAUACACACACACAUAUAUAUAUAUAUAUAUAUAUAUAUAAGCAUGUCAGCUGAUUAAUAAGAAUAGGCCGUAAUAAUGAAACAGUUCAAACACCUGCACUGAAAUUUACAAUAUUAAACUCCCGUACUAACGUAUGACCGCAGUGGCAAAGAGUUGCAUGUAGAUUGACCAUAAGUAGCAGAAACCUUGAGGCAAUCAACUGUUGAACAGACAGAGGCAUAACUCUGAAUAAAAACAUCACGUUCAGUUAUGCUCAAAGAUCAUGACGUUUGUGCGAACUUUACACGAGUUACAUUAAUCAUUUGAAGAAGAAUAUGGAUUCUACAACACAAUUGGACUAGGUUUGAGACACAAACCUCCCAUCAAGCGAUCUGUAUACAUACAUCUCGGUGAAAGGAAGUCGGCACUGAGGGCACCAGGUAUUAUUCUGAUACAGGGCCCAUCGUAAUAUACAAGUAACGCUGCAUCAAUUAGAUAAACAGAGGGUUAAUUUACUUCAACAAGCCACAACCAACAGACGAGCCCCAGAUUACAAACAUUUAUAACUUUCCAGGGUAACAUGAUAACUCCUUCAACACAACCAGAAAAUCUAGCUACAUAUUGGUUGGCCACAGUCAUAUGCAAAUAAUGAUAUUUUGUCAAUCAAAUACGCACAAGCGAGAUCCGCCAUCGAUUCAAUUCUGGAAAUAUUACCAAUAAGAGUGUUCGCAUCCUUUGAUUUGAGAUGUCUCUGCUAGCUUAAUUCUAUCUAAGCAGAUGGCACAAAUAUCAGGAUCAGAUGGACCUGCGCUCCCGCCCACCUGACACCCCCCAAUGAACACAACUUACUACACGAAGAAGUCUCAUACCUGCAUUGCAAAUCAAACUGAACUCCAAAAAAUCAUUAUUCGUCAUUCAAAGAAUGACUCAUGUGAUAAAGAUAUCAGGCAAGUCCUGAGUAAAAAAUAAAAAUAAAACCCACGAUAGUAGCAGUGCUGAACGCAUAGCUACGUAACAAGUUGUUAAAAUGAAAUAAAGAAUUAAACAUGCAACGACAAUUCGAAACUCACCACAUCAGAAAAAGUCAAGGCUGGUACACUAACACUAGCCUGUUCCUCAAGUUUCUCCUCAAGGGCGGCAUGUGUAUGCACUCCUCCCAGAGAUUCCUUGGGGCCUGUGCUUCCUCCAGGAACUUCUGCUGCUGACGAAAGUGAGGCCACAAUUCCGGAUAACUCCUCCGUGUUAUAAGCUUCAUCAUACGUACCAUGACUAUCAGCUGAAUCACUAACCGCACCACCACCAACUGCAUCAGUCCAUACCUCAUUGACAGACAUUGUGUCACUCCUUGCCACAAUUCCGUCCAUGUCUCGAGAAUUCCAGAGUAAACCCUGAAUCAGCUCUAAAAGAUGCACAGUAGACUCGACGAUCUGAAAAUUGUGUACACCAGGUUAAUUCCAAUUGAGAGGGAAACUGCAACGGUGCAGGUAAUCGUAUUACUCCGCUACUCUGUUUCUUGCCCGCCGAACUCGUGAUCACUAUCACACCAAAAGCAGCUAAGGCAAAGCUCGUGCCAAGUGGUGGAUGCGAGCCCCAAAGUUGUCAAUUCCUGAAAUGUCCGCAAUUAGGCUCUAUACCAGCUCCAAUCAUGUAAGUAACACAAGUGAGAGCCCUUCAAUGUUAGUAGCUGAACGCGACCUCACGGGAAUCCACCUCCUGGGGCGGACUUUCGUUAAAGAAGCACCCAGGGGGCCCAGGGUCGGUAGCGACAACGCGUGCCGAAAUAAGAUGCCAAGCAUCGGAACGAAGUCUGUAACAGAACCAAGCCUUUAAGGCAAUGAAAUUUCUUCACCAGGAAGAUCCACGACCUUGAAAAGAACCGAAACGCUCACUGCACCAGAAUUCUAGGUCGGAGACUGUCCCAAAAUUCCUGAGCCAAGGAUCAACACAUCAGCUUUCGACGCAGCCAUGGAAAAAGCCUGAGUGCCAAUUCCAAUCCCUCACCACACCAACUCCACAUAAAAACUUACUACCUUAAAUAAUCCAACUAAAACAAUCAUCGUAGAAUACUAUUUCGGCAUUCAAAUGCUGCCUCGCUCCAUCUCCCCACCUCCGACAUGACCACCUUCAAAGCCUGUAAAACUUUCUAAAAAGCACAAGAACUGUCAACACAAGGUCCACCAAGCCAAUUCAAUCGCUACAAACGUCAAAAAACCACCACAAACACUUCGCGCUAGCCUACAAACCUCUAUUUCUCGCAGCAACUUCCUGCGCAAGCUGAACCACAACACAAAAACUCACCCACUCAGUGUCCACGCAAAUUCAAACGGCUGGUCCGAUUCCCGAGGAAGAGAGCACUUUGCAACCGCCACACGACGGCCACAACCAAGCCACCUAACACCGACGCAAUCACAGCCCGCAGCUCGAUCAGAUCGCUAAACAAAACCACUGGACAUGGCUGCCGAGGGUUUCACACAAAAGCGACCAUGGAAGAGCUCGGUGGAGCCCUCCUGAGCUGUAGAAUUCGAGACCCACGUUCAAGCCCCACCGGUGGCCGUCGGAUUUCUCUCCCGGAGUCUCAGCGGUCGAUACCAGUUGGUUAGACCAGAGAAUGUGGAUUAUGCUGUGUUUUGCUCUGUGAUUCUGACAUAUGUGUUACCAUCUCUCGUUGUGAAAUUACGGACUAAUCUUCUGGGUGUGUCGAUCGCUCCGACAGCCAUGCGUCUGGAAGUAAUUGCUAAAUGAAGUUGGGGUCUUUUCGAUCGAAGUGGUGACAUGUCCACCGUCAUGCAAGACUCGUUUUCACCACCAUCUGAAAUGACGCCAUGCCUACUACUACUCUGAGCUAGGGUGUCCGAGUGGCACCCUAAGCCCCUACCUGGAGGCGUUGAUGUGGAAAAACUAAAUAUGUGGAAGACUUCAUGUCUCCGUGUUAUUGUGAUCUCAUGGGUUUUGAGGUCCAAACAGAGAUUGAACGAUAUGUUGCUGGAUUCAAAGGUUGAAGUCACGCAGAAGACUUUUACAGUCAGCACUAUCCUUGUAGAGUCAAGUUAAGACUUCAUAGAAAAAGCUCUUCCGCUUGGACAUGGGUCAGCACUAGUCAAACUUAGUGAUUGCGGGAUGGACAAUUCAAAGCGUAAAGAUUAGCAGAUGUAAAGUUCUGCACAUUUUAUCUCUAAUUUCCUGACUCAAGGAAAAGCUACGGUCGUACUGUCUUGAUAAUUAAAAUAAGAAAAGAAAAAAGUGUAGCAAGACCUGUCACAGUGACUUGCGAUUCUUUCAGAAGAAUCGGGGAAUCAAGAAACUAACCUUCUUUUUACUUUUUUCUUUUUUUUAAUGAACCUGCAUUUUUUUGGAACUAUCCUAUAGAUCAAAGUAGGAUAUCCUGCACAACAUUUAGCUGGUCGACGUAACUACUCUUUGUAUUGAUGCUAGGAAUAGCGUCACCCUCCGAUUAAUAUCGUUCUCGAUGAAAUUCUGCUUCACAUGAGUUAUGUUUUGCAGAAUGAAAUGCGGUGACUGGACUAGAAUGCAGAUCUCGAGGAUUGUGAAUGCAGAAUUUGCCUUUCAGAGUAUCUGAUCUGUUCUGACGUCGGUUGCCGGAAUGCCUGCAUAUAUUGAGCGGAGGGCUCCAUCCCAUAGCCUGGCUUCAAUAGCCUGCAAGAAGUCCACUCAAAGAGGGUAGUCUGAGUUUAAAUUACCCAUUGAAAAAUUAAUUAACAAAUAUUGAGUAAACUUUAAAGCUCGAAUUCGAGAUUCAAAAAGCCUGAAUAUCAACUGGUGACAGCUAGCAAAUGUGCGAAAGUUAGAGAUAGUGCAAGCACAAACUUGGUAUCCUGGAUUAGGAAGACAUAAAAUUUACUACAUUUUGAGUACGCACUGAAGAGGAUGUUACUGACCUUUGAUCUUUGGUGCUUGUAACCCUACUCUGAAUGUUGGUUUUUGCCACUUGCAACGCACGCAGCACAUCACAUAUGUUUUUAUUAGGUUCAGAUUUUGGAGAUCGUUGUACCGCGGAACCUUCUUGCGGGAAAUCAUGUGUCGGCCCGUAUCCAAGACUUAGAAUAAGCUCAGCACUGGAAUAGCCAUUUCGAUGUGAAUGCUGCUGUCUGAGAUCGCAGUCUAUCUGUUUUGCCAAAAGAUAUAACCAAAUAUUAUUCAUAUCGCCAGCAUGUCGGAAACAUUAGCAGCAUAAGAAGGAAUUGUCUUCCAGACAGUACUUAGAGAUUUAGUACAAAUGUACUGAAAAUAUUUCUUGUGAUCUACCCUAGCUAAUCAGAUUCGAAGGCUUUAGAAGAUGAAGCAUACACGAGUAGACAUGGCCAAUAGUUGAUUAAAAUGCAUAUGAGAAAGACGCAACGAUGACUGCAAGAUGCCAGCUUCGAACGUAGCGGAGAUACAGCAACUCCGAGCAGUACUACAGUCCAGGCAAAGUUCCACAAAUAGAAUCUAACCUUGGCAGCAGGAAAGCUGACCCGUCUCUGCCCACCUGCCCCAUGCACACUUUCAUCAGAGUAACGCCGAUCGUCAUAAGAUCCGGAGGCCCUCUCAAAGUUUGUAUGAGAUGUAUUCGAAGCCAAUGCAGCAGGAUGCCGAGGAUAGGACUGUCGUCUCCCUAAACCAGGAUUUGAUUCGUAGCGUUGAUGAAUCCCAUCAUACUCUUCCACAGCUAGCCAGCCAUUACUAUCAGAGUGAGAACUUUGAUGACGAUGAGCACUCCCAGGUUGAGAAUUAGUGCAAGACUCCUCUCUUUCGCUAUCCCUGCCACAAUGACUACCAUGGAAUUAUGUCACUAAUGAGUGCCAGUUACAAGAAAACUUCCAACACAGCACCAACAACACAGAAUACACAUCGAGCAUUGAUGAUAUGAUUCAAGUUGAUAGUUCAUCCACGUAGAAGCUAUUUAUUUCCAUUUGACAGUUAGCAUCGCCAUACCCAGGCUGAGCUUGCAGAUGACGUUCACUGAUACCCCGAUCAGUGCCCUCCCAAAUGGGUUGUCCAACCCUAAAAUCUGGUUGAAAGCUUCGGUAUACAUCCUCCUUUGACCUGUCAGAAAAAUUAAGAUCUCUCACGAAGACCUCUGACGUAUGGUAGUUAUCCAGAUAUCAAGUAACACUUUGGGACUGGCUGUGGGAAGAAGCCCAUAUCAGAACUACAAGUGCAGUGAAAAAUCGUCAAAGCAAUUGGUCCUCGGACAUGAAGUACGAAUACGCCUACACACUUGAGGGUUUAUGGAGAUAUAAAUGACUCACAUGGAAGGUGCAGCAGCGCGAUCCUUGUACAUUCGAGUACUAUGGUUCAAGUAGGUAGGAUCAAUUGGCACUUGCAUGUAUACUGCUUCAUGAUGUGGGCCACCAGCUCCAUGUCUCAACGGCUUCUCCCUAGUCGAAGAGUCUGGUUCAACGAACGGCUCUUCACGGCGAGGUAAAUUUAUUUCUGAAUUUCGCCCAUCGGAUCCCGUAGGAAGGUCCAAUGUGCUUUUGCUUUUGGCCAAUCUUGCCUGAUGAGACCUCAAGAAAGACGAACUAUCUGCGACGUCAUUUGCUUCAUGCCUAAAUUCUGCAUGUUGAUGGUGCCGAUGCCGGGCAGAAGCUUUUGGUAAUCGAUUGGUGUUAAGAUCAUUUCCCUGCCAUCAAAAGGUAUCGAUCCAUUGAAGCAUUGCAAUACUGACGGAAUCAAGACCAAAACAGUGAUGGGUACUAUCUCUGCUCGUACAGUUUUCCUACGUUCCAGUUCGCAGAGGCUAAGUGUGAAAGGGAGGUGUGCACGUACCUUAAACUGCUCUAAUUUCCGUUGAGAUUCCACGUAGUUUCUUUCCCAUUCUCGUUGCACAAUUUCUUGAGCUGCGAACUGUUCAUGCCAGAAUGCUGCCUUCUUCGGAUCUCCCUGCCACUGGCCCUUUUCUUGUACAAUGUGUGACGACAGCUCUGCAUUUUUCAAAUCGAAAAGAGACUAAAUGAGUGACAUCGCUCAAGGAGCACCUGAUUAUCAUCGUUGCGUUGAAUAAAGCUUCCGAAGAUAAAUGGACAGACAGCACAAUACGAUUUGACCACCAAAAAUAGUUAGUUGCCAAAAUGGCGUUCCUGAAUGGGGAGUUCUAAAUCCACUCUACAAACCUGGAUGAUCUUCUACCAUUUGCACUGGUGCAUCCUGAGAUUUCAUUUUUUCAAUUUCAUAUUUCAUGCACAUAUCAUGAGAGGGGCUAACUAGCUUCUUAGGAAUAAUAUCCUGGAGCACAGUAGGUACUUGGCCCAUCCAGCUCAUGAUCUCUUCACGCUCAACAUCUUCGUUGCUUUUCUCUUCGGCAAGAGCAGCAAUCCCUUCACUAAUCCCAUUCCAUAAGUCUCGUAAGCGGUUUUCAAUGGCAACCCUGUCCAACCACAUUUAGGGGAUUAAUUAACGUGGCUAUCCACCACAAAUUAAAUAUGAGUAUUUGUUAACAAUUCCACAAAAAGGACACGAGAAGCUGCCUCACAGUGAAAUUGAUCAAGUGAUUGUGCUAAUAUUUUGAGAGCACAGGACCAGCUCACUGGAAAAGAGCCUCAAUAAAAUACCUACAAGUUCGAGAUCGUCAUGGUCAUUGCAAUUACCUGUUAUCCUGCUUCUGAGGAGUCCCUUGAGAUCGCUCUAACGUUUUCAGAGGAGUGGGUCUCUCCCUGAGUCGAACUGGCACAGCUGAACGUUCUUCAAUCUGACUAGCAGUGUCUGGAAACUUUUUUUUAGUGUUGGGAUCCUCAUCCUCAACAGGAGCUCCAUAAGAAUUUGUCUGCGACAAUUUUUCAAAACUGCUUACAUCGGGCCGUGAGGAGCACUUGUCAUCCUCUAUACCCACCCUUGGCAUUGAAAGCGAGGACCCUCUGGUCAAAUUUGGAAUGUAUCUAUCUGAUACCUCGCAUGAUGUCCUUCCUGUCACUGGAUUGGAGCUUUCUGCAUCCAAAAUAGAUUAAAACCUGUCAUCCCAUAAAACUUAAAAUCUAAAACUUGGUUCUUGAAUUAGAAUGAACAAAAUUAAAAUAUGAAUCUCUUUACCCAGUUCAACGUAUGCACUCUAUUGAGCUGCAAGCGUAUCAGGUUGCCACUAUUCCACGAAGCAUCACAUUUAACUUCAUUAAAUCUCGCAUUGAUGACAAAUUCUCCGAAUUAGGACCAGUACACGGGAGAAUGGCAUGUAUUAACCUGCCAAUUUCAACUUCAUGACUGCUUCCUGGGUAGCGACCUGUGCUUUCCUCCGAUCUUCAAUCGCCUGGUCCAGCUUUACUUGCAGUUCAGAAACCUGGCAAUGUACACAAAUCUGCAUGAGCUGCUAACUCUUAACUCUCUCUAAUAACAUCCUCGCGAACAGAACUAAAAUUAAAGAUGAGAAAGGCCGUUACGGAAUAAUGGAAAGUGCUAAGUAAAGGAUCUCUGGAAGGACAUAGAAAGAGAACUCAUUAGCUUCAUGAGUUUAUUGAAGGAAUAAUGAGAACUGAUCAACCAACAUUGAUGAGAACUGAUGAUCAACAUUGCAGUUAUAAUUUGGUUAAGGUUAUUUCAAAUUCUUCGCAAAGCAAGUGACAGAGGGUGCUAAAUUAAACCUAUGUCUAGAACCCUACGAAUUACUACCUUGUGUUCAUUCUAAACAAUACAAUCUUCCGAAAAAUACGAAGUAAACUUCACCUGCGCAGCAAGCUGUCGGACUCUCAGUUUCGCAGCCUUUGAUGCAGAACGUUCAGACAGAAGCCUAGAUCGUAAGCAUUCAAUUGUCAUCGACAUGACAUCGUCUCCUGAAGAUAGCUUCCUUCAAGACGUUGCAUGCAAGAGCACAAACUAGUUUCAGUUUAUGCUCAUUUGAUGACAAAAGCAAUCAGCGAUAUUCACAAGGUUGUCUAUCAAAUUGUCUAUCAAACAACCUUAGGAAUAGGACUGAUUGAAGUUUUGCAGCAUUGAUACAGAUACCAUGAGCCUUGUUGCCGAAAGAGAGAUCUGUCACACCAGACAAGUGGCGAAGAGAGCUUGUUCACAAGACAAGUGCAAAUAACGGGAGAUUGAAACGAGGGCUAGUGCAAAAUAGUUGAGGUACGUCCAAAGCACCUGUCCAGAAAUUCAGAAGACUCAAGGCCAGCGAUUUCAUCUACAUUUCCUGCUUGCGUUUGUCUAUCAAGCUCAUCAACCGACUUAAUCUGAUCGAUUGGAGACGCUCCACCUACAGGUGUGCCUCGUUGCUUUUCCUCAGCUGGUCGUCCCUCCAAAUCAUUCUUUACGCUUGGCUUGCCUCCUGGACACUCAUCAUGAGGCAUGCCAACUGAAGCCGUCAAUUCUAUCCCCGAGGGUUCCAUAGCCAUCUCUUCCUCUUUUUGUUUACAAGGGUUAAAUCUCCACCUGAGUGCGGUUGAGAGUGUUAAUGGUGUGAUAUUUCUAACCGUCAAAGAGGGACUGCCAGCUCCGGAUUUCUUAUCAAGCUGCCCGAAAGUCCUUCACCUUUCGUAAGAGGACAUCCACAUGACGCAUUACACGGUCGAUUCCGAUCACGCCCUGGGUUAUCAAAAGCAAAAACUCAGAACAUUAAGUAAGUACCUUGUAGAAACUAAAUUGCAUCUCAAUAUAUGAUAAACCAGAACGUGUUGAUCAUGACAAUCCAAUUUUUAAUAUUCGACGCGAUAAGUGCAAGCAUUGGUGAAAUUCAUUUAAAAUCAUUUGAGCUUUAAAAGUGGAUCUCUUCAUCCGAUGGACGUCCCCACUAUUCAUGUCAUGGUUGAUACGUCACGUCUCUCACACUUUCACACUUACUAAACGCCACCAUGUAAAUUACCAAUAUCUGCCCUCAAGAAUCCAAUAACAAAACUCUAAAACACUUCCACAAAAUGCACCUAGGUUGAAUCAUUUUGGCCUUGAGGUGAACUACAAAAGACAAAAUGUUUUACAUCUUCCUAAAAAAAACUACCAUUAACACAGCAGGUAACGCUCAAGCAAGAUGAAGCGUGAGGCUCAUUGCUGUUAGAUGGUCAACAAUCAUACACGAGUGAGGUAGAGUACAAAAGUCGCGGCCCCAUUACCUCAUGGGAAGCUGGCUCAAGGGGCUCAAGCCUGUCCCACCUUCGACCGCUCCUUCGUUCGACACAGAGAUACUGGAAGAAGCCUAAUCCACAGCAGCCUCAACAGAAUCAUUCUGGGAGGGUCUUCAAGAGACUACUCUAUGCUCAUCAACCCACUAGAUCGUCUGCAGGCAAGCAGAGAUGCCAAAACCCGAAACAUUUUUCCCUUCAAUUCUCCUCUCCACACACGAGUAAGCAAUGAUCAAGUUAACUUAAUUUUCGAUCCUAAGAUUCAACGAAAGUCACAAACCACGAUAGCAAUUAAUGGCGAUGCUCAUGUCUGUUGGUCCCCUCCCCGAAUCCUAACAUUUUGGAAAUUUCUAGAAGCUACGGUUCACAUGACCUCGCCUUCACAAAGGGGGAUACAACACAACCUCCGGCGUGGCAUCUGCAACCACGGGCAGUCUCGCAAUGUGAAUUCAUAAACCCGCUCCAAUCGGCAAUGUGGGAUUCAGGCGUCACUCAACCUGGCAGGAUCCACACUUGUUUGCAAUAGGUCUUCCACAAGAACAUAGACGACUAAUCGUUGUCUGCAGAAACAACCCAAUAUUUCAGAACGUUCACAUCACCACCCUGCAUCCCAGCAACGACCCCGGACCAUACAAAUUUGACUCUGAUCACAUCAAUGAUUUCGCGAUCGUACCACAUCCGAAUCCACGUAAAAACGAACGUGAUGAGCAUUUCACCAUAGUCGCUACUCAACCUUUCGUGUGUAGUAUAUCAGCAUCCUACAUGACAUAUCCGAAACGAUCACCAGAUUUCAAAGGCGUAGUGGCUCCUAGCUGCUCUGAGGUAGUAAUUGCAUUACUUGUGAGAGGAAUUGUUCGUCUCUAGCCCAAAUCAUCAAAAUUAGAGGUGUCGUAGGUCAAAGGGUGCUUUCUUAACCUCUGUAUCAAGCAUCAACAUUCGGGGAAUAGAACCCACAGAUUACACAAGCUGCUAGCUCGGUGGAAAAAAUCCUCUCUUCCUCACACCGACUUCCAAUGCGAGGAAGGCUGUUCGCCAGCCACGAUUGCUCACCUUGUUCGUAAACGCAACAUCUAAAAAAAAAAGGCAGGCUCACAGACUAGACCGUCUUCCCACCCUUCAUCGUCAUCCUUUAUUUCAUAAGACUUGCUUCGCCACCCAGUGAAGAGAAAAAGACGAACUCCAGAACUGCAAUCAGCCCUGAAUAUCCUCAAACUCAAGCUCCAUUGAUCAAGUACGAAAUAAGAAACCCGAUCACUAUCGUUCACACAAUGAAGAAUUCGGUGAAGAGCUGCCUAUCUCUGACAUGCGAGAAUGCUGAGCUUAUCCAACACUUUGCCAGAACCCAAUAAAUUCGAAAAAAAUCCCCUAAACACCUCUCCCUCCCCGCUGUGGUCGCGCACACACACACAACCCCACCCACUAUGGCAAAAAUCAUGCGCCCCACAUAUCCUCAACCCACAAUCGAAAAGAAAACCUCACCAACUCCACCACCAUCAUGCAUAAAUCAGCAUAUCGCCAUCCGGCGCUCUAAUUCUUCCACCCACCUUUCCCAGAAUAUUUCCCACACAUUUUUCCAGAUGUACACUAAUGCAUUUGACCAAUUCAACGUCCACCGCGUGCAGGGCCAAAAGCGAAACCCCCGAAUCACGCACUAGAACCCCUGCUGCUGCACUCAUUCCCGGUUCCACGCCCCUCGACACUCUCACCGAGCAAAUGAACGUGAUUACACCAGUUGCAAAAACAAUUGCAGACACAAUUUCCACACACCACUCGCCAUCGUCGCAAGUCACGUCAAACCCACUCUCAGCAGCGGUAAGCAACUUCAAUACAAAACAAAUGAAGCUUAAGAAGAAGGGAAAAGUUUACCCAUACCACCGAAUUUUAACUAUCACACGAUCGGCCUGAAUGGCUACGGCGCCACACAAGCUCCGCCAUGUCCUGCCAUUACCAUUCUCCCCUUUCUACAUCUCUCUCAUCCUCUCCACGCACCAUCUCCAUCGCUGUACAAACUUUUGCAACAACAACACAAAAACAGCUUUGCUUCAAUUCCAAGUACAGUAAAACUACACUCACGUUGCUUCACGUGAAGCUUUUCUGAAUGCAGCCAUGGAUAGAGAAAGCGACACACACACAGACAGAGUCAGAGACAGAAAGAGAAUCGACUUCAUGAAUCGUGCUCCAUGCAAAAUGAGUCGGCACUCACAUUCCAUGGAAUUCGUUAUUUUGUGGCAGAAGAUUCUGCACAUUAAAUGUCAUGGCAUGAUUCUCCAGGACGGCUACGAACAUCAUUGCGCACACACACACACACACCGCCUUUGCUUUGCCCUAAAAUUAUAAAAAAAAAAUUAUAAAAAAAUAAAACGAAAAGCCCUCUUCUGAGUCUCUGCUUUUUGUUUGUUUUCUACAAUUGGGUUGCCCGUAUUUAAUUUUUUUGCUGAAUGGAACUGCAGAGGAUGCUUGUCGUUAUAAAACUAGUAAAUAAAACUCUUCUAAAGAAUAGAUUUUGAUGUAGCUGCUUCUGGGCUUUGUGCUAUUCGCCCUUGGAAAGGAGCCAUUUACUUCCAUUGGGUGCAAAGUGUUUGGGAAAAUGAAAGAGUGAAUUUUCGGGUGAUGAUUGUUACUGGUAAAUAAUAAUAAUAAUAAAAAUAAAAGGUGGUGUGCUUCGAUCUUAUCUUGAAGGAAUUAUUCUAUACUCAUCUUGCCCCAUCUUUUGUUGAUCUUACGAAGGUUUUGUUUCUCUUGUUCUCACUUGCUCAUCUUUUGCUUUAUUGUUUUUUUAGAAGGUUUUCUACACUUAGGGGAGUAAGUGUCAGGUCACUAGUGCUUAUAAGAUUCAAUUUGUAAUUUAUAAGCACUAAAAUUCAAUUUGUAACUUUGGCAUUGAUAUGAAGUACAAAACAAUUUAAUAACAAAUUCUAUGGAUUAGAAAACAUAGAUGUAUUCUUUUGAAGUAUGAUAGGCUAUUUAUAUGUCAUAAUAUAGAUUCAAAUUGCAAAUACUGAAUGGAUAUGUAAUUUGUAUGAAAUUUAUUGUUGAUCUUGUGUGUAAGAAUGGUGCCAUUUCUAAAUAAACAACCUUCCACUUCAUUGUCUAGUUUUUACAUUGUUCAAAAUUAAUAGUGUUAUUCUUAAACAAAGCCAAUAAUUUCUUGUUUAUCUUAAUUAGAUAAUAAUUUAGAAAUUUUUAAGUCAUUUUAACAUUAUAAUAAAAAAAAAAAAAAUUAUAACAUGGUAUUAUGAAAUUUGAAUUGGAUAUGAGAUUAUUGAUUAUAAAACAUUUGUGUCAAAUCAUCAACAGUUAGAAAUAUAAAUGACAUCACAUAAAAAUUCUUCUUUAAAAUAGAUAAAAGUACUACAAAAUAUAAAAAUGUAAAAAAGAAUCGUAGAGAUUAUUUUCAUUAUAACUUACUGAAAUUAUUUUAUUAUGAUGUAAAAUAAAUCUAUAAAAGAAUGUUAUUUUAUUAGUUUUUUGCUAGCUAAACCACCCAAGAAUAUAUCCAAGCAUUAUCCACUUCUAAUGUAUCAAUAGAAGCACUAAUCUUCUUUAUUGAUUGGAAAAUAAAGCAAAACAUUCUUAAAGCAUCCAACCUUCUAGUAUUACAACUACACCAACACAUAGUACUCUCUAUCUAAGAUAUAUUAUUUUAAACAUUUAAAUAUGUCUUAUCUUUUACUCUUAUAGUUUUAAUGCCAUUAUAUAUUAAAAUAAUAGAUUUUAAAGUACAAACAUCUAAAGAACUAUAAGAAAAAAAUACAAGGAAAAUUGAAUUUGAAAAAAGAAUUAAAUAGUAUGGUUAUGAUUGUUUUGAAGUAAAAAAUAAUCUUAAAAAUAUUGAAAUGUCUAAAUAAUAAAUGAGAUUAUAAAUAAUUCAACUAAUAAAUAUUACACAUUUUAAUUUUUCGCACUUGCUUAAAUUUGGUUCUAGACAACUUAUGUAUCUCUUCAAUUGAAUGUCUUUAAAACUACUAAAAAAUGCUUUCGUGCUUUCUUCUUGAUGUGUGAGUGCAAUACUACCUUUUAAUUGUUUUAUGUAUUUUUUAUUCUAAAAAGAACCAUGUGUUGUAAAAUAAAAUGGACUAAGAAUGAAUAGACUGUCACUGUCAAUUUUAUUUGAGCAUUAAAAACUAUGGCAAUUAUAAUACAUAUGGAUUGUGUUUUUAUUUAUUUAUUUAUUUAUUUAUUUAUUUAUUUUAGGAUUUUUUUACACUAUUGAAAUUCCUUUCAAAUAAAUUUGGUUUUUAUUACAAAGAACUAUACUUUACUAUAAAAACAAUAUGUAUAAUUUUAAAGGAAGGCAUGUAAUUUUUUUAACAGAGGGUAUGAAGAACUCAAGUUAAAGACCACAAUCUGUUGAAAUUGUCUUUCAAAGCAAUUGCAUCAUGGAUGUGUAGCAUAGAAUUCCAUAAAAAGCAUCUAUCUAUUGAACAAUCACUUUUUUCAUUUUGGAUAUUUCGUAUGUGUGCUUGAAAAUACCUCUUUGAAAAAAUCAUAUAUUUAAUUAUAUUAUUAGACAAUUUAAAGAAAAAAUAAUCCAAAUUUAGGGGUUAUUAUCAGAAAAUUUUACAAAUACAGUUUUAUCUCAAUUACAUAAGUAAAAAUCAGCAUUAUAUUUGAAAAUAAAUCAAUACAAAUUUUCCUUACCUUUUUUUUUCAUAUUAUAUUUUUCUAUUUUAUUUUUGUCUUUUUCUAAGAGAGAAAAUUAAUUUAGGCAUAUACAUUUAACACAGUUCCAUCUGAACUUUAACACUAAUAUACAGAAUGUGCUUUAGUGUAAUUUUUAAUUAUCUCAAAAAAAAAAAUGUGUUGAUUGUUACAUCACAUCAUAGAUCUAGUUUUGUGGACUAUUGUCUUUUUGGCUUUUGCUUAAGCUCUUCAAUGUUACAUUUUUAUUAUAGAGCAAUAACAAAUGACAUCAUGUUCAAAUCUUUUCUUUUAAAACACAUUAAAAAACUUUAAAAUUCUUGAAAUAUCUAUGAUUAGCUAUAGAAACUUCAAGAUGAUUUAAUGCCAAUGUUUGCUUAGGAUCACAUUUUAUUAAGAGAAUUAUUGGGUGAACACUCCCCUUUUGGUGCACCAAUACCUCCCACACAAAAUAACUAGUUUUUACUUUAAAUCUUGAUACAAAUUGUGUUUAUUACUAUUUUCUCCAACUUAAUAUAACUUUAUUUAUUUGUAUUUUAUUCUUCAAUAUUUUCUCACCCUUUAAAAUUUUCAUCUUUGCAAACCUUUGUCAAUUUUCUUUUUUGAAUGGUAAAACCAUAAAAGAUUAGGUUUUAAUAUUUCACUAAUACAAAAUAAAAGCUAAAAAAAUCUCAUUUAAAAUCAAAACUAUUUAUUUUUUGUGAGGAUAUGUGUGUGGAGUGUUCACCUAGCAGUUCCCUUGUUUAAAUGUGAUGCUUUAAAAAAAAAAUAGAAUGAAUUGAAAGUAAAAUUUAGAAUAAUAAAUUAUAUAUAUAUAUAUAUAUAUAUAUAUAUCUUCUCCCUCUUUGAAAUAAAUAAGAGAAUUUAUGAUGAUAAUUUAAGUUCAAUAAUAAAAGAAUAUUUAUGAAUAAAAGUUUUAUUGGUUUUUAAAAAUUGCUAUAUUAAAUGUUUUUUUUUCCAAUUUGUUUUCCUCUAGUGUAGCAAAUUUUCCAAAUUAUUAAAUAUAUAGAACAAGUAUCUUCAUGAGAAUUAAAUUAAAAGUCACUCAAGUACUUAUAUGAUUAAAUACAUUAUUAUUUUUCAUGAAUAAAGUUUCAAUAAUAAUUAGUAUCUAUUUAUCAAAAAUCAUUGUGUGACUUCUUUUAAAAAUUGAUUUUUAAAAUAUUAAAAUUAGAUUUUUGAUUGUUUUCCAAAUUGAAUUGAGAACACCAUCUGAAAAUCACUGUGAAAAAAUUAUAAUUAUGACAAAACAUCCAAUUUACUUGUUCAAUUUAUGUUUCAUGAUACACUUUACUAGACUUUAUAUGAAACAAGUGUAUACAUGUUUGUGUGUAAGAUGUAUAAGUGUCUUUGAAUCCAUUUAGAAUUAAUAUAAAAGGAGAAUCUUUAUAAAAAUUGGUAUCACGAAGUAAUUGUAUAAUUCUUUCUUAUUAAAGAUAAUACCAAGGUGUUAAAACAGUUAGUUGGGUCUUUGAGAUAGCUUUUAAAUCAUAUAAUAGCAAAAUAUGGUUACAUGAGAAUAUAGGGGAGACGAGCUAAAAAAAAGUAACUAUGUCUAUUCCUUUUCCUUUUUUCUUACUUUUUAUUUUCCAGUUAAAUUGGAAACUAAGACAGAACAGAGUUCGUUGCUGAUCGACGGCAGAUUCCGCAACGAUUCUGGGCAGAAUUUGUGACCAGGGGUAGGACGUGACGUUCUGCUCCAGAACCGUCGUCGUCUCCGAAUGGAGGCGUUUGAAAACGAGGGCUUGUGCCGAGUGGGGUCCGGGACACAGCCUCGUAUCUCCGCAGCGGAGGAGGAUUGCUGAGUUGCCGCGAUUGCAAUUAACUCAAGACCGACUUCAGUGAUUACGCACAUUACAACUUAUGAUUUGUGAGAAGAAAGAAGAGUUGGUGAUGCAUCAUUCCUGUUCGUGACUCGUAGCCCUUUGUAUCAAAUCUGGAGGUGGAAGUUGUCGAAUGCAAUUGCUGCCGUCCUUUCUUCACAUCAGGUUAAGAGAAGUUGAUACGUGAAUUUCUGUCCUUAUUCUACAGUUAGAACGAUAUGCCAAACUCAAUUUUAAAUAAGAACACACUUCUCGUGAAUUUUGGACCAUUAGUCAGUGAGAUUGAACUAGACCGUCCACCUUGGAACCUACCAAGUUUCUAAGAAUUAGCUUUGGCUUGCGCUCGUAAUUACCAUGCGGGAAGGUCUGCUUAGCGCGUGAUCGUACGCUUUCACAUUCUAUAUGCACUGAUCUCGAAGGUGUUGUUAGUGAAUGAGUUCAUGUCUGGCUGUUGAUUCCUCUAUUUCUGAUUGUGAUGGUAAUUCUAAUUUGUAACCGUUGUGUUGUUUAGUGUCUACAAAGUUCUGAAAAAUGGCGUCUCUGGAUGAUACCAAGCUAUCUACUCCAGUGUCAACGAGACACUAGCGUUUGGUAUUAUACUUCAAGCAGAAAGCUGAACCAUUUUUCGGAACUGGCACAUGUUUUGGAAACGAUAUCGGUUGCAUCAGCACACGACCUAGGUUACGCUAAUGAUUUGAUAAGAUGCAUCUAAUCACGAGGAGAGACAUUGGAAGUUUGUAGAAAACAAAGCUGAAGAGUGAAGACGGCGGUUCAGGUUUUGGUAGUCCAUGUGAAACGUUGGUAGAAGACAACUUAGUCUUUGUGCUGCCUCUGGAGUGAAACUUCUGGCAAUAUUACCGCCACCUAAGGAAGUUCUGCUCUCAAUCCUUUCUUCUUCUUCCGAAUCGAUCUUAUUCAUAAGCACUUUUGCUGGGUUUACCUUUUCUUAUCGCAAAUCUUGCACAUUGUUCAUCGCUUAAUUGUCUGAAACGACGCGGUACUGGAUCAGCAUAACCACGGAGGUCUCCAUCUUAAUCCAAAUCUCGUGUAGGCAUGCUGUUUUAAGUCUUAUGAAAAACCUUUUUAACGUGGAGAUUGAAGUAGGGGCAAACAGAUUUCGAUUCGAAAAGUGCAAAUUACGGUGAAGGUACGUCUUUCUUCAGAUUUCUAAUUUCAAGAACCCGGAAAUGUUGACGUUAGGGGAUCAUGAAUUGCUGCCAGAAGAGGCGCUAAGCGUCAUUGUAGAUAUGGUAGAUUACAGAGGCAGAAUUUUUACAUCGCCUGGAAAUAGAUUGGUUUUAAAAAAUAAUUAUUUUUUAUUUUAUUUUUAUGAAAAUGUAAUUCCUGACAUCUGUCCAAGUGAUUAGGACAGCUGGAAGGAAGUGGAUCUGCGAGAAAGUGGGAAUUAGGCUAUUAUGCCUAUCAGGAUUGUUCAUCGAAGUUGCAUGAUCAAGGAGGUCCUGAUGUUGGCCAUUAUCCUUCAUUCCGAAAGUGAUCCUCCGCAUUAUUUCAUGAAUACUUGAUCACGAUGGCCUCGUGAAGUUCAGCGAGCUGGCUCAUUGGUCCCUAUCCUUCAUCAUGAUUUCAGAGCCAUAAGCAUGUCGAAGAGUGAUGUAUCAUAACAGUAUAUGUUGCAAUUCGGUUCGUCCACUCCGAUUUCAGAACAAUGGGGAGAUUCAGAUCACACGUCCAAUUCAAGAGAACAAACUCGACGCUGUUAGUCUGUACGGGAGCCUCCAUGGUCUUUCUUUUGAUCCCUCCAACACGCAUGCAUUGUUGCGUGCUGUCAAUUCACUCCAAUCUAUCAAAGAAUCUCAACGGUGUUCGGCGCAAACCAGCUGCCGAGAAUCACCCCAUCAAUCCUCUUCAAACUCUUCCUCAACCAGUUCCCCUGAGAAUACCACUGAUUCCAUUCCUACCUGCAAUGAGCCAGAAUCCUGUCCUAACCACAGAAGUGGCCAAGCCCCGGCUGUUGCUGACGCAGGACCCACGCAGACUCAAAGCUCUUCUGGCCCAACAUCUCAAGGCUCUUCUGGCUCAACAUCUCAAAGCUUAGAGAAUUCCUCUGAAAGGGGCAGCCGACAAAUUCCAAUUUCAAAGGGAUCCGAGCCUGCUCAAGUAAGCGUUGGUACUGCGAGCAAAGGCUCGGGAAAAGCUGGUGUGACAUGGAUUGACUGGGGAUGGCCAGGGACUCACGACAAUUGCCCUUUCAACCCACGACACUCUGUGGAUGAUAGCCUUAUCCGUCAUGAACGGGUAGGUUCUGUACAGGAACAGGCGCAUUUCUGUUGCUGCAUACCUCUUCGGAUUCGCAGCAUCUUCCUGAAUUUUCUCUUUUGGCUCGUGGAGUAGGAACACGUUUAUGAAACGAGUAUCGUGAUGGGAUUCCGACCGUUCACGGGCAAAUGAGUGGUUAAGUAUAUAUAUAUAUAUUUAUCUGAGGUAAUAGGAUAUCUUUCUCACAAGCUCGAGGUAUGGAUGCAUAUUCCAUGCGUUUCUUUUAUUUCUUUGUUGCGUUGGUUUUCAAUUUUCGAAUGCCUGAAGUUUCAAGCAUAGUUUCUUAGGAAUAGGUUGUAGUCCAUCAUCUCUUCUUCAUCUGAGCUCUCCAACGAUGCUCUUUUCUGAAUUAGACGUGGUGGAGUAGGUUGAAUCAUUGCGAAAAUUAUCCGAAUCCCUCAGGAGAAGCUACUGAUGUUGCAAGGUGGAAUGUGUUCUUGCAAUCGUUUGAUACUCAACUUCUUCAAGCGCCCGUUGGAUUAGCAGAACAUCUCAAAAGACCAGGACAUGAAACGACCUAUACACUGGCUAUAGUGAGAAGUUUAAUGGGAGUAUCUUCUAGUCCAAGUCUGUACUGAGUGAGUAGGUUUUUGAUGUGUACAGAUUUUCUGUGAAAGUUCGAACGGCAUAUUGAGAACUUGUUGCCCCUGCAUCAGGAAGUUGGUGAAAUGUUGCAAGUUACGUGUACGACAACUGAAAUCAGCUAUGAGUGUGUGUCAUUGACAUGAAUUCGGGUAUACCUACACUCUCCCUCUCUGUGUUUUGUCUCUGCAAGUUUGUUUGGUUUGCUUUGAAGCGUGGUUUUCAAAUGCAUUGAAGUAUCGCCCAUCACGAUUCUGUGCCAAUGAAACCACCAAUCACGUGCAUUUACAUGUAUCUAGCUUGCCAAAAUCUUAAGUACAAGGAUGAACCAGAUCCAAUAUAAGAAGCAACUAAAUCGUGCUUUCAGAUGUUUGGCAGGUCAAAUUUGCAUGAGAAUAUUUAAAACAAAUUGUAUCAACCAAUUACAGUGUUGACAGUAAAAACUAUAUCACCUACAACAAUUCGAUACUUUCAGCUUUCCUGCGGACAUAUCUGAUCUUAAGCAUUUGGAAAUCAAGGUAUAUCAUAUUUAACAACAUUCUUACAUGAAGCCUUGAAUAUGGAGAUGAAACAAAAUUCACAUGGAUACUUUGUACAAUUUGUUUGUAUGCAAAGGUUUAGGGUUUAGGGUUUAGGGUUUAUGCCAGCCCCACUUGUAAUUUGAUUGAUGCAUGUGGAGUAUGAGAGUAUGUUGAAGACAAUUAGAGGAAGGAAGAUGCAAUGCAAGACAAUACAAGGCUGAUUAUGUAGAAAGGAACUUUGAAAGGUUUUUAUGGAAUUUCAAUUUAUUAGCAUGUGUAAAUUUUGAUUAAAUUUUGAAAACUUACCAACACAGUUCACUCCAACAUAUUUAGCUUGUGUCUUUAUUUCUUAACAUCUACUAAAAUCACACUUAUAUCAAUCUAAUCUUAAUUUUAUUUAAAAUAUUGAGAAAUAUGCACACAAACUUUACCAAAUACCAUUCAAUAUUAAAAUAUGCUUUAUUAUAAAUCUAAAGACUUUGUGUCUUUUUCUACAUUUUUUUUAUCCUUUAAAAUAUUAUUAAAUUUAAGAGUAUUCAACUAAAAUAAUGGACAAAAAAACCUAAAGAAAGACCAGAUUUUAUACCAUUUAGAAUGAUUUGAUAAUAUAAAAUAUUUUAAACAUGAAUUAUUGGAUUUGUAAAGAUAUUGAAAUGAAUUGUUUGCAUGUUUUAAUUUACAAUCAAAUGAUUUAUUUUUCUACAAUGAUGUCUUUUUCUAAGAGAUAUCUUUAAUAAAAAAUGCAUAUUUCUAUUCUUACAAAUAAAUGUUAAAUUUGAUCCAAAUCAUCUAGUAAUUAGUUUUGAUAAUUUUGAAAGAAAUUACAAAACAAUGCCCUAUUUGAUACAAAGUUAAAAUCUUUGUAUAUAAUAUUUUAAUUUAACAUUUGUAACAUUACUCUAAUAACAUGUUUAAUGUAAUUUAAUUUAAUUUUUAUUGAUUAGGUCUUGUAUCUUUAUAUUAAACUUCUAUUUAAGAUAUUUAUUAAGGUUUGUAAACUUAUCAAUACAUGUCAUUAAAAUAAUUUUAAAUUGUAAUUUAUGCAAGCUUUGAUUGAAGAAAAAUAAAUCUUUGUCCAAAGAAAUAUCCUCAUCAAUAAUAUGAAAAAAACAAGAAUUUUUUAAAGAGGAUUUUCUUAAGAGAAAUUAAAAAGGACUUAAAAUUGAUAUAAAUUAUGUUUGUUAGUCCAAUUGGAUCAUUCUAAUUAUAAACAACAAUAGUGGUAAAAGAUGUGAAUAUAUUUUUCUCCUUUAAGAGAUGUUGAUAUUUGAUAUCAUAUUGAUGUUGAUGUGAUAUAUAUUUAUAAUCUAUUGUGAUAUAUAAAUUAUAAAUAUAUAUCACAAUAUGUAUAAUUUUGAUGUGAUGUAUAUUUAUAAAGUAUUGAUUUUGAUAUUUGUAUGUAAACCCUUCCAAUAGUAACAUGAAUUGCCUUUGAAACUCUCUUGUCUAGUACAAAUCCUCACAAUCAAAACUUCAUGUAAUUAAGUCUAUUACAGAAUAUAACAACCAUUCAAAUGAGAAUUUGAUCACAAAUUAUAAAUUGAAGUUGAUACCAACAUUAAAAGCAAUAAAUCAUCAACACUAGAAAUAUUAACAGUAGAGCUAAUGUGCCCAUAUUACAACAUUUCAAUGUGCACUGCAAGAAGAGUGAAAUUCAGCUGCCGCUAAGCAUUCAAUGGAGGCAUGUUACCGUGAAGAGAAACGCAGUUCAUGUCACCCACUUUCAAUGAGAGAAAGAGAGAGUGUCAUUGUAGACCGGAAGUAAAAUGAAUGCAGAUUUGUCAUUUAUGGGGUGUUACGAUAUCGUGUAAAAAUAACAAUGUCGAACUAUGAGUCCAGAAGCGUUGACAACAAAUGUAACAUCUGAAGACUUGGUGACAAAACUGAGCUGAUAUACUUUAGAUUACUACGCCGUAGUCGCAUUUCGACUCAUUCGGCCACGAGAAGGUACUUAUGAUCAGAGAGACUGAUAAGAGUAGAAGGAAAAAUUGUGUUCAACGCACAGUACGUUCGCACAUGGACGCAGAAUGUUAUGUAGUUUUCUUAGCGAGAAGACACAAGAUUGUGGCUUUUACGAGGAAGCACUGAGGCAAAUCGAAGUAAGCUUCGUUCCGUUCAGCCACACACAAGCUUGAAGACCGUUCUGUCCGCAGACGCCCGUGCCGACGACAACCGUAGCCCCUGCAGUGAGGAUUCUUACGAGGUCAUUCGAAGACACCACGUAUCUAACUUCACAGGACACUAUCGUCAGGGAAACAAGAGGGAACCGUGUGCCUGCUGGAAGUGUGAACCGUUCUCCACUCGCAACAACAAAAGUCCGAAGCUGUCCCCCCCGCACAGCAUAGAUAAUUUCAAUGGGUUCGUUCAGACUGUUUUCGAAGCAAAGCCCGUGCGCGCCUGCAGCACAGCUCACCAGGAGUGUCGCAGCCACCACCAGGACCGCCAGUGAGUUGAACAUCCUGAUGCUCGACGCCAUGGUGAGCUGUAAUCUGCGCAACGAUUGAGGUCGAGCGUGAACUAUCUGCUGAAACUCGAAGAGAGUUGAAUGAAUAUGCAUAUCUAUUCCUGGCUUGCAUAUCGUUUAUAUAGGAUUUCUCGACACCAAGGUCGAGAGCAGUCAUGCCAUGAGGAUUUAGAUCGCGCAAAAAGUUCAAACCGACGUGCUGCUGAUAAAAAUCAUACUGUCGCACCGCAACAGUUAUCUCAGGACGUUCUAGUGUGUAGUGGGACUUCGGCGCAGUCAUCACAUUCUCAUGAAAAUCUCUCGAUUUCGAAGAACAUGCCAGCGACGACAUCCUGAAGGUUACGACGAAAAUAAAAGUAGGGGAGUCAGGCCGACACGUGCGAGUUCUGGCUGUGUGUGUGUGUGUAUGUGUAAGUGUUGAUGUUGGAAAAGGCGAUUUUGCGGCGAGAAUCGUUCGAACGUGUCCAGGUUGAUGAGAAGGAGGGCUGUCGGAGGCGCGGCCCGCAGCACACUCCGCAGCGAGACAGAUUGUGGCCAACUUGAUGGGUCCGUUCAUCUUGUCCCUGCGCAUUUGCUCCGAUUCGUCGACGUGCAGUGCAGCUCCACAUCACGAAUCAUGUCCUGUCGAAGUUUGUCCGUAGUGCAACGCCGACGCUAAUCACGGAAGACGAUGAAAAAUGGAAUCACGGAAGACGAUGAAAAAUGGAAUCAAUGCAUUCUCAAACGUUCUCGCUACACAUCUGUAACUAAAAAAUGUGUUCUUGUGUAACAUAUAUAUAUAUAUAUAUACAUCUUUCCUUUGACGUUUUAGACGUAUCAUUUGUUCUGAGUUUCAUGCACAGCUUUCACUUUUUAUCUGUGAUGUUGAUUCUGUAUUUGAUGUAUACUAAAAGCUCAACUAUGCAUACUAUUACAUUCGUACAAGUAAAUCGCUUUGAUUUUGUUACACGUUUGUAUGUUUGUGUAUACAUGUAUUCCAAAUUCCACCUUCACAGUUACUUCACCUACUGCACAAGGAAUUGACUGCUAGCAUCUCCAUAACAGCUUCAAGUUGUGGGUCCAUUCUUGAUGUGUAUGGAACUCAUCAUAAUUUUGGGAGCUAAAGUCGAUUAGAACUAACCAGUAAGACCUUCGAUUU
rnacentral:lncRNA from 1 species